GGUAUAUAAAGAAGUACUUCAUAUUUAUAUAUGUCACACAUAAGGUGUGUUACAUUAUGCUUCAUGUUUUAGGAAAUUUUCGACCUAUGUAGAGGUCUCCGAUUACAGAUACAAAGGAAAUAAGAGAAAAACUUUAUCCGAGGUCCUAUGCUAUAUCAAAAUUGUUGGAGUUGAGCAAGUUCUACUUGCGGCGUGUUGAACGUUCGGAGCUGGAUUCUGCAUCUGACUGCUUGACCCCCAUCAGGCGCCUUUCAAAAUCUGCUUGUUGUUCUUUCACCUCUCUUAUUUAUGCUAGUGCUGUCACCAUUUGAUUCUAAAGCGUCCCUGUGUAAAUUUGGGUAUUUUCAUGUAGUCCUUCCAGACGACGGAUGUCUGCGGCAUUACCCUGUGUAGCAGCAUUGAUCUCACGAACUUUGGCUACUUGCUUGUCCGCAUGCUAGUUCUGGGUAGCUAAAGUGCCCACAAUAACAAGAAGUGCUCGAUCAGCUGAGCCUCCCCCACUGACAUUAUAAAAAAUCUCGACACAUGCCAAAAGGAGGGCGUACACCUAGUUGGCGGCUCCAGUAAUAGAGGUGGCUUCCCCACAUGGGAAUGGGUCCNGGAUGGGAGGGUCGUACACUUCUGGCUCGGAGUCUGUCCCGCUAGAAAUCUCCUCGAUCUCUUCGUCGACUUCGAAUUCCUCUCCGACUUCGACUUCGAAUUCUCCCUCGAUAACCCCUUCGAGUUCUUCCUCGACCUCUUCUUCGAUUUCCUCUGGGUCUUCCUCCGGGUCUUCUUCUAUCCGCCCGCCGUUGCCUUGGUUUGGGUAGUAGGGAUCUCCCGGUAAAUGGAAUCCGGUCAUUUGUCUGUACUAGGAUAGAGGUAUGAGAAUUUCAUAAGAAAAGAAAUUUCUAUUUAACGACUUCCUACGUUUAACUAUAUCCUUACGGAGCGCAAGUGUUUCAUUGUACAAUUAUUUUUAACAAUACUCCUAUAGUAUUUCAAAUUGGCGAAUCUAAAAUAAUUUGUAUUUGGUAAGUUUUUGGCUUGUUGUCCACUACGACCAUUCCUCGACGUACAUUGGUCAAAUCCAGGAUAAAUAUAGUUGAUCAGGCUAUAUUUAUUCUCGAUUUGAUUACAUACCCCGAGGCCCAAUCGUAGUGUCGCAACUUGCCUUAAUACUUUUUAGAAAACUUGUCAUGAUACGAGACUGAUACAUGCGAGUAAAAAUGUAUAUUUUUAAAAGAAAAUAUAUUGUUUAUGAAAACGUUUUGUCAGAGGGUUUUUGGUCCCCUUUGCAUUUAUAGUUUGUAUAUCUUAUGUGGUUCGAUAUACUUAGUUCACUAUAAACAAUGCUCUGAUACCAAUCUGUCACACCCCCAAACCAGAAUGGCGGAAACAUUCGGGGGUGGAUGACUUCACGUAGUAUCACAACAAUUGAAUAUUGUAAAGAAAGUAACACAACCAUCAUAUAUAUAAUAAAAACGUAUAUUGUUGCGUUAUACAUAUUUGCAAAAGAAUAUUACAAUAUGAUGAUAUAAAUGUUUAAUAAUAAACGUCCUUAGCGUUCCUUCUUCAAAAGCUGGUGGUUACCUGUAUUACUGAUUCCCUGAGAAAUACAAGUGGUUUCGAAAAAGUGUCAACAAUUAAGUUGGUGAGUUCAUAAGUGUUUUGUAUUGAAAAGUAUGUCCUUUUGGUAGAAAAUCGAUGAACGAGGUUUUCAGAAAAUCCAAUAUUUUCUAUAUAUAGUUUGAAAAGUUCCCAAAGUUGGAGUGCGUUAGUAUUUUUCGUACUUGAAUGAUAAAGAUAAACUUUGUGCUCAAAAUAAUGUAAAUACUGAAUGCAUAUAUGAAUCUCGUAAAUCAAACUUGUUUUUAUACUUUCAUGUGAGUCUUAUAACCAUACUAUUGACACAGACUGCCUGUAACAACAUUCUUCAGGUGUUGUAGUGUUAUGACAUUUGUCACCCCAGACCUGCCGGUCUAACUGUAGCUAACAGUUUAGGUGCGGGGUUGUCAAUCCCGUAUAGAUCUAUACACAAGUAUCACGCUCUCCCUCCAAGAGAUUAUGGUAUAUAAUACAGGACUUGAAAUGCAUACAUAAGAGUACGUUGAAGUUUGAAUAUCUCACAUCACUUAGUAUAAAUAGAUUUACGAUAAGAAAGACUUUACUUCAUUUUUGUUGAAAGUAUUUCGUUUUUUUUUCCAAGAUGUAUACGUAAGAAUGUAUGAACGACUUGCUAACUAUACCCAUUAUAGUUUUUCAGAAAGUAUGUUCCAUUUGGUGAAAAUAACUUGAUGAUAUACUAACCCUUAUACGUAAAGUAAGAUGUUGGUAUCAAUAAUUAAUAAGAUAAAUGUUGCAUUUAUGUUUAUAAAACGAUACUUUUACUUGUAUUGUACUUGUAUUCCCCCCCCCCCCCUAAAACAUGAAAAGACUUGAAAUGUAGGGGUAUGAACUCACUUGUUUGGUUUGAAGAGAGUGGGGCUAGAGUCGAGCAGAACUUCAACCGCGGAAAGCUGCGUCUUCGAGCUCUUCGGGGAUCUCGGUAGCGUAGAAUCUUCGUCGGGGACUCGGGUGCGGAAACCGAGGGCAUCGGGACAGCUUCUGGAGCUUGAAAGUAUGAGAGAGUGACUGAGAGUUUAGACAAGGUGUGCUAAAACCCGUAGCUCAUGCCUUCUAUUUAUAGUGCUGGAAAGUCGAGUACGUUGGGCGUAACACCAGAGUACGCUGGGCGUACGCGUUACGCUGGGCUUACUUCUGUUAUGAUGGCCGUAACUUUGCAUCAUGGCUUACGACUCGAAUCUAGCUAGGCGUAGAGCUGCAGCCGAUGGGACUCGACCCUGCUCCUAAGUACGCUGGGCGUACUCCUAUAUUACGCUGGGCGUAAUCCCGACUUCCGUCUUCUAAAUUCCGUAACUUUCGCGUACGGGCUCCGUUUUUCGCGUUCUUUAUAUCCAUGCGUAGAUGAGAUUAUGCUCUACAACUUUCAUUUAGACUCCGUUGGCUAGUUUUGAUUUUAUUUUUAAUGAUCUGUUUUUAAUAGGUCGGGACUGUUAAAGUUCGUUAAAAAUUCAUAUCUUCUUUAUUCGACGUCACUUUUCAUUUGUCUUUUUAUCAUUUUACUCCUAUUGUGGAGGUCUUCAACUUUCGUUUAGGUUGCGAUAGCUAAAUAACGCUCGAUCUUCAAUUAGAGUUUUUAUCCCUCUACUACUUGUUACGAAACUUAGAAAAUUCAUAACUUCUUCAUACGAGGUCCAAUUUGGGCGAUCUUUUGAUGUAUGUUUACAGUUUAACGAACUCUACAACUUUUGUUUAAAUACUUAAGGCUAAAACGCAUUUUACUGUAAUUUCACUUUUUACGUUAAAUAAUAUUUUAACGGUGUGCCGUAAAUAUUCGCGUGGUUAUAAUUUCUUCAAUAUAACUCUGUUUCAAAUGUUCUUUAUGUUUUUGGAAACCUUGGCACGAUAUCUAAUAUUUGAUGCAUCCCAAUUUAGAUAUUUGAACACUUUAUUUUUGAGGUUAAUUUCGUUGAUUCCAAAUAGUUUUCGUUGUAUUUGACUUUUGAGUGUUACAUCCCUUUUGGAAAAUAUGGGGGUGUCAUAGUGUAAUUCUCAAUUUUGAUGAUAUAUGCUAAAUUUAAGAAAAUGCCUUGAUUGUUGUGAUGAUUUGUAGUUGUAAUAUGCUUUAGAUAAUAAAAUAUGAUGUACAUGCAUAAUUACAUGAUAAUGGUCAGUUGUGUGUUAUCCAUGUAAGUGAAGUAAUUAAUUAUUAAUUAAAUAAUAGUAAUGGUAACACAAUUACACAUGAUAAAAGGGUAGAAACCUAACUUUAGGUGAAUGCCUUUUUGCAAUAUCGAGACAGAAGGAUAUCAAGGACAAAGAGAAUAAGCCAAGACCACGUCGAGUGGUUUUUUGGAUGACCAUUUCGAGUUAUGGUUCGAGUUCAUUAAGGUUCACGAGACUGGAGUGAUGUUGGCCAUUUCGAUCGGGGCUGGAUCAAGCAUCACGUUGUUACAAGUUGGUAUCAGAACCAUGCUGUGGGUGAAUAAAAUACUGGCUUCAAUAGGUGCUUUAGGAUCUUAAAGGGGAGGAUGUGUGCUGAGAGUUAUAUGUUGUUUGGUUAAUUCCUUUGGGACUCUUAAUUCUUUAUGAUUUCGAAACAUCCCCACUUAUUUCUCCUGGACCAUGUAAUCGUUAAUAUCGCUUGAUGUUAGGGGAAUAUCUCAUGACCCACAAGCUUAGUUAUCCCAUAGCAUUCAUAUUUUGAAUAGUGUUGCGCAUAUCGAGGAAAUGGAAGGUUGUCUUAACGUGAUGAUUCGACUUUACGUGUUCAACAAGCCCUACAAGUUGUUGGUUUAUCAUUGGUCAGUGGCAGACCUAGAAGGGUAGCAUUAUUUGGUCUAAGAAUGCAAGCGGGUUACGGAAUUUAGAAUGAAAAAUAGGACUAAAAUUUGUAACCUAAACCAUUGAGACAGGAGACUUCGUGGUAAUGGUAGUAGAAAAUAUAUAGGUGUGAAUGUUAGUAUUCGCCAAAUACUAUCAUAAACACAUUCUAUAUUUGGGAUGAGAAGAACCAUGAAGAAACCUGAGGAUCUAGCAGUUAGUAUUCAGUUUUGGAAUAGUCGUACGUAUGGUAGACCUUUUUGUCAUUGUUUUCUGUUGUGCUCAUUUUUUUGUACCUUAAAGUCCGUUGAUUUCGACGUUAGAUAGUAAUGCAGCUUUGGGAGACCUAGUUUCGGUGUAGGAAAAUGUUUGACGCAUGUGAAAUCCUUGUGAAUGACCAUAUUUUUUCCUUAACAUUGACUUCCUUUUGGAAUCUAGUCGUUUGAUAUUGUCAUUCGUAUGGUUUGUCUUUCCACCAAACAGACCAAAAUUCUUUCCCUCGAAAAGCAUGUGCAUAUUUCGCUUGUCGAGGAUGUGUAUGUCUAUGGGGGUAAAAUUAUGUUGUAGCGACUAUUCCUAUAAAUGCUAGGAUGAUAGCACUCAAGUGGCCAACAAGGUCAUGUGAGGUUUUCUUGACUCGUGUGAUUGAGAGUUCAAGGAACACGAUGAGUGUCUUCGAUGUGGAUCAUGGUAGGGAAUAUAGAGAUGUCUUUCCUUGAUGAGUUGUCGAGUGUAUAAACACCAUGUCAGGUAGAGAUCUUGUUUUGACCUUAUUCCUGGUGUGGCUACUAAAUCCAAAACAAUUUUUAUGUUGGUUCGUUUCGGAAUGAAGGAAAUGAUGACAUAGCUUCACGAGUAGUUCGAGUGUAGAUUAUUCGACCGAGUUCCUCGUCUUGGGGACCGCUGGUCCAAUUCGAUUAAAAGGAAAGACGAUGCAAGCGGUCAGGUAUCAAUUAUAUAACAUUGAAUAAGAUCAAGAUAAUAACAAGUAAGUAUCAACAUCCUAUUUUGGUUUGGGGUGUGAUCAUGCAACAAAGGAAGGUGAUUGUGUCCGCUUUUUGAGGAGAGAACUCUAAGGUUCAUUUCCAUCAUUUGUGCUUUGUAGUGAGCAAGUAUCUAGUGAAGAGAUGCAAGGUUUCCCUUGGCUAAUGUGAUAAAGGGAUAAAGGUAAUCGAUGGCUAUUAUUUGUGGAAGUGGACAAGGAGUUUCAACAGUAGACUAUGGAAGAGUGUUAUUGAAAAGUAAUAAUUCGACGAGAAAUACUUGUUUUCACAAUAGAGACAAGUUAAGAGACAGAUGCCUUGCUAUUUGACAAGUUGUGAGCCGUCAAUUUGAUACACGAGAAAGAGAUUUGGUAGAUAUCUUGGCUAGAGAAUGAUGAAGCAACGUUGAAUGAAAUGAUUCAAUCUCAUCAAAGUCCAACGGAAGGAUGGGUACGGGUCAGAAGUUGUGACAACCCGAUAUUUCAACUCUUUGUAACGACCAAAAAGGGUNNNNNNNNNNNNNNNNNNNNNNNNNNNNNNNNNNNNNNNNNNNNNNNNNNNNNNNNNNNNNNNNNNNNNNNNNNNNNNNNNNNNNNNNNNNNNNNNNNNNAUAUAUAUAUAUAUAUAUAAUACACAUUGUUGGACUUAUCUGAUGCCCCUAAAAUUUUGCUACCUUGAGCCUAAGCCCAAGCCGCCCAUGUAUUGAAUCGGGAUCUGUACGUGUGUACAAGGAUUAUGCAUAAUGAUUUGAAAAUUAACUUCUAAACAUAGAUGCUUAGUGAUGAUAAGUGGUUGCUAUAUAUAGGGAUAAUCACAACAUUUGACUGUAAUUGCAACAAAUAAUAUUAUUUUUUAUCUUUUAAAUUUCGCAACCAUGGGUAGUUUUUCAGUUUAUAACUAAUGCUAGUGUGUUAGAAUAUUUUUUUUUUUGUUAGUAAAGAUUCACUUCUCCUGUAUAAAUAGAGAGGAAAACUAAAUCAUUUAGUGUGCACCUUACAAAAUAUAGUCUUCUAGUUAGUGAAGUGAAUGAGAUCUCUCCCAUGAAGAGUUCUUAUAUUUUCAUAUAUGUAACCCCUCUUUCUAUGAAAUUGUUGGAUUGCUAUUUAGUAAAGUGUAUUUUUUUUUUCUUAUUCCGCAACAAUAGAAUCCUCUAAAUAUGAUCCUACAACUCUCUUAGCUAGACAUGGUGGUGUAGAAUUUCCAAGGGUAUUCUUUCCGAACCCCAUGGGGAGAAAUAUUUAGAGCUAACACGUUGGAGCAAAUAAAUUAAAUCCAACAACAUGGAGAAGGAUUCACUUAGAAUGUGGGAUAAUUUCCUUAUCUUGAUGUCCCCAUAGUUAGUGUUCAUAUCCUCGAGCUUUGCGGCUCCUUGACUCUUACUCAACGACUUAUACCACAAAAUGUAGUUCAGUAGUUGUGAAUUGUGUUAAUGCGGGUCUGAUGCAAUGUUGACGUCGCCAUGUUCUAUCUCUCGUGGAUGAACAAAAUUUAGAGUAGGAUAACUUUGAUCUUGAUCUCGAGCCAAUUAUGGGCUAAAUUUCACCACCAAAAUUUUAAGUAGCCUCAUUUUUUUGCAGCAUAAUUUUGACCAGGAUCCAAUGAAGCCUGACUUUUAGAAACCUCCACAAUGUAGUCUUCAUCCAUAGUUUUACUCGUACACUCCCAUUAAUCAACAACAAUAUCAAGAAGUCUCUUAAGAUAUUGUUUCACUUUAAGACGAUAUGGAACAAUUUGAUAAUAAUUUCUAGGAUCUUUGUAAUGAUGUCGACACCCUCUAAUGACUUUGACGCUAUAACUCAUUUUGUUAUUGAUAUUUAUGCCAACUCUUGACCCGAUCCUUUGCAGCCACCGCCCCUGCCAUAUGUUCAACAUUACCUGAAUUUUCCACCACCCCUCCUCAUGAUUAGAAGGUCCGAUCCUCUCUAUGCAAUAGGAAAAUGCCACAACUUAAGCUUAGAGAGGGAAAUUCUCUAAAUUUUGUAAAAAAAAAUCAGUUUUUGCUUUGGUAGUUUUUUUUUUUUGCUUUUUUAUUUGUAAAAGAACAUUUUUUUCAUUUUAAUUUCUGUUUUUAAGAAAAAUUCAGAAAAAAUUAAAAAGAUAAAUUUCUUUUAUAAACUAGAUCAUUAUAAAAAAAAAGUUUUAUGAGAUGCUGAAACUAGUUACUUCAUAAUAUGUUAUGUAAAUGUGGAAAUGUUAGUGACCAAAAUUGAUAGUCUCAAUACACAUAGGUGUAGUAAUAGUUCUUCAUAAGUAGGGAUUUGUUAAACAUCGUGAAUUGGUAAACCAAUCAUAAAAAAGUAAAAGAAACCUUUAAAACAAUUAUAACUAUGGAGUUGUUAAACACUGUGACCAUUAAACCAACUUGGAAGUAAUUUCUUGAAACUUUUAUAAAAGAACCCAGGUGAUAAUUCUUGACUAUAUAUAACUUGGGUGUUACCUUUCAGGGUGAACCGCAAGUCUAACAACAUAUUCAUUCAACCAAAUACAAAGAUCGAAGAAAUAAGCAAAUUGUUAAAUCCCAGAUCAUAGUGGGUACCAACUGUCAAAAUCGAUAGCCAAAUGAACUUUCAAGCACCUAAAUGAAGAACUACCCAAUAAAUAUUCAAAGAAAUAAAAUUUAAGAAACUAAAGCCAAAGGCAAAAGUCACAUUUACGUUUCAAUGAAUUUGUGUGCAACCACAAAGUCAAAUAUCGUUCACAUGAAGAACCUGUGGACUAUGAUAUUGGAUACUUUCAAAAUAGUGAAAAGAUAGGUGUCGGCCCCUUCAUGUGAGCUAGUUAUUUCAUAUAAAGUUGAUAUGCCUUGUCGGAGUCUUUGAGGAUCAGUCAAGUUAGGUAACUCUAAUGAAUUUGGGUUGAAAUAAUAUUAAUUAUAAACAUGAUGUUUUUUGUAAAUAAAGUUUAUUAAUGUAUUAAUUUUAUUUAGUUUUACGAUUGGUUUAUCAUUUUGCACCAUCAAAAAAUCCUUCUAACUUUAGAUUUUGGGAUAAUACUAGAGGUGUCGAGAAUAAUGGUUAAGUUCGUGAUCCCACUAGAGUUUCUUUGGCGUGAAGUCUUAUCAUAUAAUAAAAAAUAUUGGAAGUCAUUUUUUUUUUUGUGAUGUCUUUGAUUUUUAGUUUUUUUUUUACUAUUUUACUUUAUUUUAUAAUAUUCAUUUGUAUGAUCAUAGAAUAGUUAACUUCUCUCUGCAUGAUCGUCUAUUUAGGUUCUUCGUAGCCAUCUACAAUUUACUUACCUAACUUUUAUUUUCCUCUCUCGAGUAUAAGUAAGGUUUAAGAUUGGGAGAUUUGUUAGAUUUAUUUGUAUGCUUCUUUUCUACUAGUUUUACUACCUAAUUUGUAUUCGAUUUUCUACAUUUUUGCUUGUGUAAGUGUUAAUAAAUUGGACAGUUGUUUUCUUCAGAACAUGUGUGCUGCAUAUGUUUUGAUAUCUAAUUUCAGGUAUUCAAAGCAGAGUGGGAAUUCGAAGAUAUAUUGAUGCAACAUGGAGGAAACCUAGAGCAAUUUUUGGAGCAUAACAGUAGCUUAUAGUACAUACGGAAGUUAGAGAAUGGAAGGAAGCAAUAUGUUCUGAACACCAUAAUGCAAAAAUAACCUAACACGGGAUGUGUUCACUCUGAUACAGGUUGUGUACCUUCAUUUAAAUAAUCUGAGAUGUUUUGUUUUUUUCAAAAAAAAUGAAAACCUUGAAGCAGGUAGUUUUUGUGCUGUUAAGGGUCAUGUCCCAUCCCUGGGGAUUGUGUUUCUGAUUUUGAAGAUUUAUCAGUACUAUCUCCAAACAAGGGCCGUGUUCCAAGAAAAUUUCUCAAAGUAGCAUUGUACUUCAUUUAAAGUGAUAUGGGGUUUGUUUUCCUCCGAACACGGGCUGUGUUUCUUUAAAAUUGGUUGUGUCCCAAGAGGUGUUAUCUAGCAACAUACCAAUUUUCCAAGUGCUCCAAAGCCAUAAUUGGUUAUAAGGUGUUGUAUCAGUUAUUCAUUAGUCACAAACAUCAUGUUCGACAUCAGACAUGGAUCACAAUUAAUCUCAUCUUGACUACAUAUGUCUUUCAUAUAGUUCAUCGUAUACCUAACGAUGACCCUUAUAACUGCCUUUUUACAGAACAAUGUUAAAGCAUGUCAAAGUACAACAAUUCUGAUACUUAAGUCCUACAAAUAUAUCUCAGGUUGAAGAAUACAAAUAUACUACCUUUAUCAAACACCACUCAUGAUUAUGCUCCAUAAAGUGACUUUGAUGCAGUCAUAUCUAAUAAUUAUUCUCCUAAGCAAGUACCUAUGUAUUUGGUUGCAUCCCUUUGCAUUUUUGUCUCCUUGAAUAUCUACCAAUCCAUUAAUAUUAGUAUUACCUCAUAGAUGGUCCCAAAACUAUGAACGACUAUGGACAUUUAGAAUAACCAAGGUUAUUCAAGGAUUAAACAUGCUAAUAUACAACACAACAAUUAUUUAAUAAAUAUACUAUAUGCAAUAUAUCAAGUCAUUACAGUAUAUGUUGCUUGUAUUGUUCAAAUAUCAAUACUAAAUUUCAUUCAAAUUAAAUCACUUUGAACGAAGGAGCUUUAUUAUGUAUAUUUUUCUAAUUUGAUUUUUAUAAACUUUGCAAAUACAAAUAUUUAUUGAUUAAUUUAUAUGUCCCGUAUAUAAAGAGAAACUCUUGGGAAUGUUUUAUAUGCUUAAAUAUGGCUUAGAUAGCAAUACUCACGUAAUAAGAAUACUCAUAGUAAUAAAUUAACUAAUCAUUUAAGUAUCUAAGUAGGUCCCUCAAUAACAAUGUAUUUUGACUCUUUAGUGUAACUACAAUUUAAAUCUUCAUAGAACUCUUGUCCAUGUAACUUUAUCUUCGUUCAUAAUGAGGACAUACAUGAUUAUGAUCGAGGAUUAUCUCAAUUUAUUUAGAGUUUACAUUUGUGUAACCGACUUGACUUAGCUUUCUUUCACAUACUCAGCAAAUCACGAAUAUUUAUCUAGUUCUUCAUAAUCACUUAAGAAUGUUCCUAUUAAUCAUACCAUGACUUAUUCUCGAAUUAUACUCGGAUUAUACUUGUAUUUAUUCAUCAUGCUCCAAGCAUACGUCUUAUCUGGCCUUUAUGCAUAAUUUGACAUAUAUGAUAAAUCCAAUUGCAACAACAUAUGGAAUAUAACGGUACCAUCUAGCUCAACCAUUAUACUACAGUUCUGAGGCAUGCUCAAAAUCAUGUCAUGUGGCAUUGACAUGAUAAACUCUCUUUGAGUCCUAUAUUUGAACUCUUCAAGAUCUUGACAACUAAUGUUGUUCUACUUAAUCUUUUAAGUUCCCAUGAUCUAUGUUAAUAGAUCUUUACUCCAAGAAUUAGAAUGUUAGAUACAUACAAUACUAUGAAUGUUAUUGCAUUCCGACUAACUUUAUAAAAAACACAACAAUCAUCUUUAUUUAUUCAGAAAUCACACUAUGUAAUUUUCUUAUAAGAAAUAAGAUUCUUAUGAGAUUUUGCCUUUAAUCUGAAAACAUUUUCAUCCAUGUAUAUUUUUCUCCUUUGAAAAAUCAAUCUAUAUCGAGGAAGAUUAAUCGCAUCCAUACUUGGUUCUCAUACAUGAAUUCAUCUCUAUGUGUGUUUAUUAGUUUCUGGUCACCUAUUUGAACAGGUUCAACAAUUCUUGAAAAAAUUGCUAGUUCCAAACCGUGAUCCAUUUAAUUUAUGGUUCUUUAGCCUUUAAAGUUCGAUACUACUCCUACUUAGAAAAAUAACUUUCUAACUAUAUGACUUUAGAAUGACAAUCAGAGGGAUUGUAUAAACUUUAUCCUAAACAAUCGUUUAUGAUAUUUUUACAUAAAUGCAAUUUGUCGAUGUCAGGGGAGUUAAGCUUCUUGUCUAACAUAAACUACAUAACCCUAUACCUUACAGAUGAGGAUAAGAACAUUUCAUCUUUAGUCUAAUGAAAAUAUUUAAUCUGCUUGUUUGGUUGGAAAUAUAUAUUCAGUAUAUAUUUGUUGCAGUGAGCAUAACUAAAAAUAUAUAAAGGUAAUAGUUGUUUAUAAACUUCAUAUAGCAAACUAUAAGGUUUGAUUUAUCCUCUUCAAAAACUUGUAGUAUCGACAAUCAACUAUUGGCCAGGUGACCCUAUCCCACUAGAGAGUGCAAAAGCUACCUUGAAUAUCAUAAGACAAAGACUAAGAGACCAUGUGAUCCUUAUCAUAAAGAAGGGUACAAAUGACAAGUGAAUGUUCAUUGACAGAAUAAGUAAUGAAACAAUUACACAACUCCUAAGAUGUUCCAAGACGACUUGCUUUAAAAAAACUAAUUUCUUUAUCAUAACGAAAUGGGUUUAUGAUCAAUUCGUUGAGUUGUAUUUCAAUCUUUAUUAUGAAACAACUUGAGCAAUUUAAAAGUUUCAGUAGUAACUUUAUAAAAGUCAUUAGUAAAAUUAAUUAAGUAUUUAUUACCAAAUCUAUUUAUGGAUUGAAAAGAUGAAUGUAUAAUUGUUUGCCAAGAUUUUUUUUUCCUUCAUUACUAAUAGAGAAAAAAAAACUUGUGAAUCAUCUUCGCAUAUAAAAAUGAUUCACAUAUAUCAGAUGAAUCAAGCUCAUUUGUGUUUAUUUCAUCUUUUGAAGUUAGUAUGUGAGUUUCUUUAUUAUAUAGUCACGAUGAUAAUGACAUAGAUAAGAUUGAAUAAAAUAUCAUUUUAUUAUAUAGGUGUUAUCUUUAUAACUAUUAAUUUUACAAAAAAAACUUAUAAAUUAUUUCAUAAAGAAGGUUAUGAGAAAAUAUUCUUAACAUAUAAUACAUCAUUUCAGAACAUGAAUGUAUACAUCCAUUAAAGGAUAUAUUUAAAAUUUGUAACUUUUAUAUGUUCCAAAAAUAAUAAGUCAAAAACAUCUAUUUUUUAAAUACAGACAAUUUGGUAAUCGAAAGAUCCAACAAUAACAACUCUUGUCAUGUCUACAACAUGGAAUACCACUUAUCCGCAAUCGGUUUCUUAUUUCUUCCAAUCAUCUACACAUAAUACCAAGUAGUAUUGUCAGAUACAGUAUUAAAUACUCAAGUGAAUGAUGAAAAAACAAUAGUUUUGUCAUAUAUAUACUUGAAGUGUUGGUCAUGCUAGACUUCCUCAUCUUGGUGAGAUAAGAUGAGCAGUUCCUCUUUUUUUUUCGCAAUCAGUUUCCUCUUUCAGUAUGUACUUUCUCCAUAAUAGAAACAACAUUAAUCAUUUUUUCGCUAUCUUUAUUUCUUGGGUUUAUGUUGUAUUUCCCCUAACUGAACUAUAGGUUUAUUAGAGUACAAAAACUCUUUUACAUUUCUUCUAUCCAAUGAUUGGACAAUUUUGAAAAAAGUUCUACUUCUCUGAAUAAAUAUUUGCUUUACUUGAUAAAACAUCUAAUAUUGUUCAUAAUUCACCAAGACCUUCUACAGUUCAACGGUCAUUGUUGUAGUAUGAUGUAAGAUAUAUCAAUAACAUCACAAAUUUUUUUUCCAUAAACCACCAUGAUCAAUUUGAUUGGUUGCCAAAGGUUGUUUAGGAAUGAGAUCUUUCAAUAUAUAUAAUUUUUGAUUAUCCUUGAGGAAAAAUAUCAAGGAUGCAUACCAGUUAUAGAAACUAUAAACAUCAAAUGUUAGUAUCUCUUAGAACUCAACAAGAGAGCGGGUGUAUAGGGGUGUAUGAGUAAUAGCAGUCAUUUACAGAAUUUAAUGAAAUUUCUUUAGUAUUUUUAAUAUUAAGCCUGUAAAAAUUAACACAUUUUUAUUGUUUCUAAAAUAUUAAUUUAUUAAAUUCUAGGACCCAAGUUACGAAACAAGUAAUGGUUACAUGACCUUUAUUCCAUCGAUUUCAACCAACUCGGUAAAUAACAAUUACCAAUUUCAUCAAAAUGUAAUUCAUAGAUAAUGAGAUCCUAAACAACUAUUGCUUAACUUGGCAUGCUUGAUCCCAUCUAUGCCUCGAGCUUCUCCUGCUUAGGUGAUAUUUAUCAUAAAAAUUCCCGAUCAAGUCUUCUUACUUGAAAAUUUUGUAGCACUGUAACUAACUAGUGAUUAGGUGACCCAUCAGUAAUAGAAAAGUACAAACCACCUCCAACAUCAUACAAGUUACUAGGUAAUCUUGUGCCACCAAGACCAUACAAAUGACGCGUUAGUAUUCUUCAACAAAGACAACAAUCACUUGCAUUUUUAAGAAAAUCUUUUAUGUAUGUUUUACAAAUAUAGUAUCAAAAUCAUGGUCUGGUGAAUAUUGCAUGCAUCCAUUAAUUCAUGUGCCUUUUGUAAAAAUCAUAUCUCUUACAUAAAAUUUUUAGGUUCUAAAUAAAAUUUCAUUUUAUUAACCAUUAGCCACGAUAAAUUAUAAACAAAUAUCUUAUAUUUAAGGUUUAGUCAUAUAGAACGCUUUAAGAAAUAAUUAUAGUCUUUUAAUAAAAAUUCGUUUUAUAGUUAAGAAUUGAAGUUUUGGAUGAGUUUCAAAAUCAAAAUUUUAAAUAUCCUUUUAAUAAUCACAAUCUUAUGACCUUAUGAAUUUGUAGAAUAAAUUUCAUUUUGUUUAUAAACUCAUUUUAUACAUCGUAUCAUAAAAAUCAUAUUUUGAUAUACCAAAAUGUUAUAUAAAUAUAACGUCAACAGGAUGCAUUAUAUUUUAAAAACUAAUAUCUUAAAUCUAGUUUUGACGUAAAAAAUAGUACAUAGUAUUAUAAUUUGAUGUUAUGAUGCUAUAAACCAAAUUUUAGUCUUUUUAAUAAAAAUUUUGUUUAUUAUAAAAGAGUUGGAGUUUAGAUUUAGUUUAAACAUAUUUUAAACCAUUUUAAAUAUUUUCAAGUUGGCUAUUAAAAUUUAACAAUAAAAAAUAUUUUUAAUAACAACUCAAUUUUAAACAUUUUAAAACUCUUUUAUAAAACACUAAUUUAUAAACAUCUUAUAUUAUCUUUUAAAUAUUUAUAUCUCAAUAUCCAAUUGAUGUUAACUUGUGAUUAAAUGUUAUUUAACAUGCAAAAAUCAUUUCCAUACCUAAAACAUAACAUACAAAAACAUAAAAUUAAACAUCAAAAACAUGCAUCAAAAGUGUAUAAACCAAGCCAUUUUCUAGUAAUAAUUUUUGUGAGCAACCACAAGAAUUAUUAAGUCAUUCCUAAAGGACUUAAUGGACACUUCAAAAAAGGUCUUUAAUCUCUCUUUUGCCUAGAAAACUCUUGCUUGUAAAAAGAACUUCAAGGCACAAUCUGAUGUAGAGUUUAUGACACUUAAACCAUUAAGACUACAAUUAAGCCCAAAACCAAGAAUAAAAGUUCAACGUUGGGAUUAUAUGUUGGGUGUUUUAUUAAAAAAUUGUUUCAUAAUAACAAAUUAGCAACGUAACACUUUAAUUUUGAAAAAAAAAACUAGUUUUAUUCCCACCUAAAAAGAUCAUUUUGCAAGACUUAGAAAUAUUAAAACAACCAUAAAAAGGAAAGCAAAACAAUCUUUGAUGACUUCAGAUUCUUUUGGCAAUUAGGAAAUUGAUGAAGAUGACAUUAAGCUCCAAGGAAGAAGCUCUCUAGAAGUGACCAACAAGCAAGAUCAAACAACCAUUAGAUGUUAGUCAUUCACUUCUAAAAUGUUUUUCUUUAGCUUUAAGACAUAUUCCAAAAUAUGCUUAAAGAGAACCACCAUUUUAAGACCAAGAAUGAACUCCAAAAUUCAAGAGUUGGGGAGAGGAUGAAGGCCUCUCCAAAAAAAUAGUUCUUUAAUGUCUCUAAGUCNNNNNNNNNNNNNNNNNNNNNNNNNNNNNNNNNNNNNNNNNNNNNNNNNNNNNNNNNNNNNNNNNNNNNNNNNNNNNNNNNNNNNNNNNNNNNNNNNNNNNNNNNNNNNNNNNNNNNNNNNNNNNNNNNNNNNNNNNNNNNNNNNNNNNNNNNNNNNNNNNNNNNNNNNUAUAUACUUUUGCUCUAUUUAUUAUUAUUUCCUAGAAAUAAUAAUUCCUAAUAUGUUGGUAAAAUAUUACUUCCAAAAAUUAAUAUUUUUUUCCAAUAAAUACAAUUGUUGAUGUAUUCAUUAAUAGUCAAAUUAUACAAAUAAAUAAUCAAUUGAUGGUAACUUGAUAUAUGGUGUGACCCUAUAUGAUCAUAUAUAUCUUUAUAAAUAUCUUUUUAUAAAUACUAUUUGGCAUACAAAAUCUUUCAAUUUCCCACUUGCACAAGUCUCGUCAUAGAUUGUUAUAGACAGUUGUUAACACCUAGCAAUAUUUCACUGCCCUUAAUAACACAUGACGAAGAAACCAUUCAAAGCUUCAAAUGAUGUAUAAGGUAUGUUUAUUAGUUAUCCCUUUGUUUCAGAGACCAUAUUGAAGAUGAGACUUGGAUCACAAUCAAUAUAAUUUGGUGUUCAACUUUGGUUAAUGCGUGUUAGAUGUCUUGCUCACAACACAUACGAGGAAAAAAUCUCACCUUGACUACAUAAGCCUCUUGCAUGGUUCACACCACACCUAAAAUGGCUUUUAUAAUUUCCCAUUUAAGGAUCAAUAUUUGACCAUAUCUAAGCACAACACUCUGUACAUUUAAGGAUCAAUAAGUAACUUUUAAUCAAGUAUCACUCAUAACUACGAUCUAUGAGUUGAUUAUGAUGUUGAUCCGUUCAAUACUAGUUCUCUGAGAAGUAUCUAUGAAACUUGGUUACAACCACUUGCCUAUUUUCACUCGGUGAGAGUCACUCAAUCCAAUUCAUAUUAGUCUUACUUCAUAAUUUCUGCCACAAUUAUAACCGACGAUGAACUUUUAGAAUAAUAAGAUUAUUCAUUGAUUAAAAAUCUUAAUAUAGAACACAACAAGCAUUGAUGUAAUCAUCAUAUCCCAAUAUAUUAAAAAAGUACAAUAGUCGUCUUAAUGGUCCAAUAUCCAAAUACAAAAUUCAAACAAAAGUCCCUUUUAUAGAAUAAUAAAGUCCUAUAGUUGAAGUGUUACCAUUCAUAAUUUGGUUAAAAGGAAAGGAGUUAUUAAGGGCCUGAUUAUAUUUAAUUUGUGUGAAUUAUGUGUAUACCAUCAUCCCCAUAUUUGACUUUACUCUUAGUAUAUAUCUUGGAGAACAUGAUUGGUGCAAGGCUUGUAUGUAGCUUUCAAUCUCAAAAACCUAGGUAUGAUUUCUUCCUCAUUGGUUGGAAAAGUCCUUUAGGACCUAGGGCUGAUUUGUGACAGACUUGGAAGGUCGUAAUUGAAUUCGAUACCUAAUGGGUUAAGUGGAUUGAACCAUAACCCUAGUUUUAUCUUUCUGAAAAAUCCAUUGUUCUGUACCAUUUUGUAAAGAUCAUAACUAAUUCUAGAGACAUCGUUUUUGGACGACACUAGUUCCCAAAGUUUCAUUUUGGUGUCUGAUAGAUUUCAUUCGUUUUGACUGAAAUCCAUAAAUAUCUGUAGCUAGGGUAAAAAUGACUAUUUACCUAGACUGGUCCGGAAUGAUCUGUUAUGCAAGAAAGUUUUGUAAAAUUUGUCAUAAAUCGUAGCAAAAUCAUAUGAAGGUGUGCAAGUACUACUUUUAAACAUAAGGAAAUGAUCUAUCUUCAUUUUAUACAGUUUUGACAAACACGUGGAUUAAGGUGGGCAAAAUAGGUCCCGAACAGACCCUAAUUUUUAUGUAGAAAUCUGGAAAAUUACCCAAUAAUUAUAUUUAUAAUUAAGGCAAUUUAAUAACUACACCACCUCAAUUUACUAUUAUUAGGAAGUGUGAGGGACAAGCAGGUGUGAGUGAGUUUCGGGUUGCUUUGUAGGUUGCUUUGUUUUUGGAGGUGUUGUGUUAUAUUCUCUUUAUGUUAGCUUGUGUGUGCUAUGUGUUGCUUGUGCGGGUAAUGCUAGGCAGGGUAGAGUCUAGUGGUUUUUCUUCACGUAUUGAGGAUUAUGCAUGGUACGACUCAACGCAUCCGAGUGGCAAUCGGGUGUAGCCAAUGUGUCCCAAAGGCUCGACGAACUGAGCAAGGGGGAUCGGGCAAGACCAAUGUGUCCCAGUUGGUUCGGGUACGGGGGAUCGGGCUUAGCCAAUGUGUCCCAAGGGUUCAAUGUACUAAGCAAAGGGGGAUCAGGCAUAGCCAAUGUGUCCUAGUAGGAGUAUGUCUGUUACUGAUUCGUUUUUUGACAUGCAUGCGUGGUUAUGUGUUUGAUACUGUUUGCAUUCGUGUGUAGGGGUAAGGAUUAUAUGAUAUGAUACUGUGUAUGUAUGGAAUUAACUAAGCUUUAUGCUUACCGUUUUUCACUUAAAAAUACUAUUUCAGGUACACAUGAUGGUCGGGCAUGAUUAUACACACUGGCUUGAGGCGGGUUUUUGGAAUUAAUAUUGAAUUUGUUGUGUUUUCAUAAAAUUUAUAAUUAUAACUUAUAAUAUUUGGAAACAUAAUUGAUCUUGGGGUUUGGUAUUUCACUUGUUUUGAAUAAAAUAUAUCAAAUGGAUGAUUUAUGUAAAAAAAGUUCCAAUUUAUUGGAAAUUUUGGGAUGUUACAAAUUGGUAUCAGAGAACUGCUUGAGAGAAUUAGGCUCACUUUAGUAAGUUCUGAACUCAAGUUUGCGGCUCAAGAGUUAUUUUUCUAAAAUAAAAUUUUAUGGAAACUAAAUGAAGUAGUUCGGAAAAGGUGAACGCAAGCAUAGUGUGUACAGUCAGCCGAUACAAGAGGAAAAAAGGGAAAGUGUUCGAAUCUUAUUUAUUGUUCUCAUAGAUAAGAUUUUAUUAUGUAUGAUAGAUAACCUGAUUCUUCACAUGCUAUGUUGGAUGGUUGUUAUGUUUUAUUUGGAAUUUGUGCUAGUCCUGAUAGGUUGUUGAUUGAAUGUUUUAGGUUGUAUACAAGAGGAACUUGAUAGACUUAGAAUGACUGGUUUAGCCUGGUGCGCAACUCUUUUUUGAAUCCAACCGUUCUGGUGUGGGGUCUUUUAUUUGAAUGACUAUCUGGUUUUACAUUGUGUAUGAUUGUGCAUUCACGAGACAACAUGUUAGGACUGGUGAAUACUCCAUGAGAUGUAGAGUAGAAGGGUGAGAGUCAUUCCUAUGGGUCUAGGAAAAUUAUAGAAAAUGCUAGUAUUGAGUGAAUGUAAUAGAAUUGCAUGUUAGACUAACUGCUUAAUUUCCGACUGCUUUCUGCUUUUAGGAAUUCUUGUUAAUAUUAAUUAGCUAUCGGGCGAAUAUUUUAAGUUCCAUGCCCCUAGAAUUAAGUGGCCUUAGAUUGUCGGUUUAGCUCAAUUUCGCAACUGUUGUUUGAGUCAAACCAUUGUAGUGUUAGAUCUUCAAUCAAAAGGCUACUUAAUUCUAGUUGCAUGUAAUAGUAUUCGCAAGAUAGUUAAUUAACAUUAAUAGGAGUUUCUUUCCGGUAGAAUAGCAGGGUGGGGUGGGAGUCCUAGUAAGCUAGGAAGAGUGUUAGCAUGUGCUAGUGUAAACCACAUCGUUAGAAUUGUCGGUGAGAAGUGAGUUGGUUGCUUCAGGAUGGACCUUGGAGCAGGCAUGAAUCGGUGUGGACGAUAGUAGUAGGGCCCCUGCAAUCGGAAACACAAGAUUCUCGCCCGAGUCAAGAGAAAUCACGGGGGAAUAUAAGGACCUUGAGUGUAAUAAUGUUUACAUGUUUAUAUGUUUAUUAUUAAACUAUAUUAAUCUUAAGGUUUCCCUAGUUAACUACGAAAUGGUGUGUAUGGGAAAGGGUACUUCAGGAUUUUCUACUGGAUUAUAUGCUGAUGAGAUACUAAAGAAGAUUACGAUGGUGAUGGCGUAUGCUAUGGGGAAGAGUGAUCGGGGAUACUAAUGAACGAGUAGAUAGGGAAUAGUGUGAAAGUAACACUUGAAUAUGUGGUGAUGAAUCUUGUUUAUAUUAAACAGAAUGUCUAUUAUGCAACAUCUAGUAGAGAGCUCUGAGAUUGACUCGGACAACGCGGUCCUGCAUUAUUGGAUUGUUGUUGUGGUAUCGUAAGACCUAAUUGGAAGAGUUGUCUGGUAUCAUUAGACAAAUCACUGAUAGAUUGGNNNNNNNNNNNNNNNNNNNNNNNNNNNNNNNNNNNNNNNNNNNNNNNNNNNNNNNNNNNNNNNNNNNNNNNNNNNNNNNNNNNNNNNNNNNNNNNNNNNNGAAAAAGAGAAAAAUCAUGCAUACCAAGGUGAUCGGGAUAGUGAAAGUUCAAUUGAAAAAAAAACAGAAAGGUUCUUAAUGGGCUAGGAGAUGGAGAUGUGGGAGCAUCACUCAUAGUGGUUCAUUAAUAGGGACUUCGAGGACGAAGUCUAAUUGAAGCAGGGGAGAGUUGUAACUCCCCAUUUUUUGUUUUAUAUUUUAAAUCAUUAAUUAUCGGAGAAAUUGAUUUAUAAUGUUAAGAAUUAUGAUUUUCGGGUUGAAAGUAAUAAUAUGAUUUUAAGGAUUCAUAUUAGUUUGUACAAGGUAUAUACGAGGGGUUAGAAAGAGAUAACAUUAAUAAAAAUGUUAAGUUUGCUAAGGAUUUAAGAAGGAGGACCUAGGUGUAAUUGUUUUGAAGCAUGGGGAUCAAAGUAAGCCAAGGAGGAACAUAAACAUAUAUAAAACUUAAAACCCUUUCCACUCACUAAUUCUAUCAAGCAAAAGGAAAUGACUCCAAGUUGAAGAAUUUUCGGAAUUCCCGUUUUUGAAGACCUUGCAGCAGUGUUUGGACGAUCCCCGGAGAAUUAACCGUUGGAUCAUAGUCAAAUUUGGAGUGCCACUUUCCAAGACAUGUCGAAGUUUUGACCAUUGGGAUUUGGGUUUCAACGUAUGGAGCUCGAGUGACAGAUCGUCGAUCAUGGAAGACGUUUUAGAAAAGUCCUAGUAUGUAGCUUUGAAGGAAAGAUUGUCAAAAUCAUUUUCGGUGCAAGGCUUGUAUGUAGCUUUCAAUCUAAAAAACCUAGGUAUGAUUUUUUCCUCAUUGGUUGGAAAAGUCCUUUAGGACAUAGGGCUGAUUUGUUACAAACUUGGAAGGUCUUAAUUGAAUUUGGGACCUAAUGGGUUAAGUGGAUUGAACGAUAACCCUAGUUUUAUCUUUCUGAAAAAUCCAUUGUUUUGUACCAUUUUUGUAAAUAUCAUAACUAAUUCUAGAGAGAUCUAUUUUAGACAAAACCAGUGCCCAAAGUUUCAUUUUGGAGUCUACUAGAUUUCAUUAGUUUUGACCGAAAUCCAUAAAUAUAUGUAGCUAGGGUAAAAACGACUAUUUACCAAGACGGGUCCGAAACGAUCUGUUAUGCAAGGCAGUUUUGUAAAAUUUGUCAUAAAUCGUCGAAACAUCUUAUCAAGGUGUGCAGGUACUACUUUUAAAGAUAAGGACAUGAUCUAUCUUCAUAUGAUACAGUUUUGACAAACACGGAUAUUAAGGUGGGCAAAAUAGGUCCCGAACAACCCUAAUUUUUAUGUAGAAAUCUGGAAAAAUACCCAUUAGUUAUAUUCAUAAUUAAGGCAAUUUAAUAACUAAACCCAUCUCAAUUUAUUAUUAUUAGGAAGUGUGAAGGACAAGCAGGAGUGAGUGAGUUUCGGGUUGCUUUGGAGGUUGCUUUAUUUUUGGAGGUGAGUUCUUCACUACACCGUGUUGUAGUAUAUUUUCUUUACAUUAGCUUGUGUAUGUUAUGUGUUGCUUAUGCAGGUAGUACUAGGCGGGGUAGAGUCUAGUGGUUUUCCUUCACAUAUUGAGGAUUAUGCAUGGUAGGACUCGGCGUACUCGAGUGGGGGUCAGACGUAGCCAAUGUGUCCCAAAGGCUCGACGAACUGAGCAAGGGGGAUCGGGCAUGGCCAAUGUGUCGCAAUGGGUUCGGGUACGGGGGAUCGGGCUUAGCCAAUGUGUUCCAAGGGAUCAAUACACUGAGAAAAGGGGGAUCAUGCAUAGCCAAUGUGUCCCAUUAGGUGUCUGUUAUUGAUUCGUUCUUUGACACGCAUGCGUGGUUAUGUUUUUGAUACCGUUUGUAUUCGUGUAUAGGGGUAAUGAUUAUAUGAUAUGAUACUGUGUAUGUGUGGAAUUCACUAAUCUUCGUGCUUACCCCAUUUCCCUUAAAAAUACUAUUUCAAGUACACAGGAUGGUCGGGGAUGAUUAUACACACUAGCUUGAGGCGGGUUUUUGGAAUUAAUUUUGAAUUUGUUGUGUUUUCAUAAAAUUUAGAAUUCUAACUUAUAAUGUUUGGAAUCAGAAUUGAUCUUGGGGUUUGGUAUUUCACUAGUUACAAAUGGUAUUAUAGGUUGGCAAGUAGCAUCAUAUUUGUACUAAGUCUUGAUAGGUAUCGUCGGAUUUCCUAAAAAGUGGAAUUAGUGUUGGAGUAGGUGUCUAAGCCCAUAACUAUUAUUGGUAUGUACUCGACCCGAGAGUAGUAUGGUCCAUUUGGGUUGCAUAACACUAGGACAAUUUGUUAGGAUGAACUCUUAAGAGAAGGUUAUAUAUAUGAUUUGUUAAUAUAUUAUAUGUUAUAAUAUAUUAAUAUGAAAUCAUAUGUUUUAAUUAGUAUUGAUCAAAAAUUAAUUUGGAAUUAUUUUAGUGAUCAAAAGAGACUAAUUAAAUCUAUGGGGACUAACUAUUUUAAUUAGUUAUAUUUAUAUGUUUUGGGCUUAUGAUCCAUGUUGGAACAAGUUUAUCUAUGGAUACAUAAAGAGUUGGGCCACAUGAAUCAUGGAUCAUAAAACCAAUGGGUAUGGAUUUGGGUUAUAUCCAUGUCUCUUGAAAUCCCACAUAUAAAUAUGUAUUCCAUUUCCUAAACACGCACUAGACUUGUUCUUGGAGGGCAUGGAGGUGUUUUGGUGCAUGGGAUUCUCUCUCAAGAGUCACCUUUGUCCUAGGUGAGUUGUAAUUCCAUUUGAGGUGAAACACUUGGGGCACUAAGUUCUUGAAGGACAAAGUGUUUCAAGCAACACCAAAUACAUCAAGACUUCAAGCCACAUAAAGGGUAUGUUACUCUAACUAGCAUCUUGUAUUGUUUAUGUCAAUUGCAUGCUAGUUAUAAGUUUAAUACCUAUGAAACCAUUGGCAUGUAUAAUUUGUGAAAACAUAGAUCCAAGGUAUUUAGGGUUGUAUGUGAAACAUAGGAUGUUGUAGUAUACUAAAACCCACAAGUGGUAUCAGAGCCAAGGCUUGUUUUCAAUUAUACUUGAUGCAAAAGGCUUAACAACGAAGUUUUUGUGCUGUCUGGACAGGGGACUUGACGAGUCCAUUAAGGGACUCGAUGAUUCCAUGCACAAACUCAUCCAACUCGUCGAGUUUGUUCCUGCACUCAGCGAGUUGGACCCCCUAACAACAUAUUUUCAAGAUUUGUAUUAGUCUAUGUGUUCAUGCUAAUUUCUUGAAGAUUUAGGAUUUGAAUUAUCUUGGUCUUAUGAGUUAGUUUAGAUUGAUAGAAAAGCUAUGUGGUAAUGUGUUUUCGGUCCAAAUUAAUCUAACACUUGUUCAUAAAAGGUGUUUUUGUUAACUUGUCCUCAAGUUAUAUGAAAAGUUUCAUUUAUGAUUUUUANNNNNNNNNNNNNNNNNNNNNNNNNNNNNNNNNNNNNNNNNNNNNNNNNNNNNNNNNNNNNNNNNNNNNNNNNNNNNNNNNNNNNNNNNNNNNNNNNNNNUCUGGUUCAGAUAACUAUGAUCUACCCAAAUCUCUUGGAACAAGCAUUUAUAAUGAAGAUGAUGUCCCAUGGUUAGAUCAUGGAAAUCAUACUUCUCUUCCUACACCUCCUCCAAUUAAUUCUCCCUAACCCACAAGUUCAAGGUCACUCAAGACCUAUUGGCAAGUAAAGUCUAUGUAUGCUCACAUCUUGGAGAUGAUGUCAUAUAUAGAUAGGUCGGGAGAGUUGGGUGUCAAGGUCUUGAGGAAGGUGGAUGUUGACAAGGUUCUUCAAUCACUUCCUAAGUCACAUAGUGAGUUCCUUGUGGACUACUAUAUGACAGACAAUGACAUAACCCUUAAUGAUCUUACAUAUUUGCUUAAUGCUGCUGAAUCAGCGAUGAUUUGGACCAUCGGUAAAGCAAAUAUGAUUGGAAGGUCGACUUCCCAAACUUCCAUGGACAUUGACAGUGGUUACAUUGGAAAUCCAAGAAAACUUUCUCUUCCCAAUGGAAAAGGAUCGGCCAUAGUGAAAUUUGUUGACCAAAUGGUAAAGAGAAAGGAUAAGUUUGAGAUAGUCCCGUGUACCAUUCCAAAGAGUCCAUAUAUUUCUAUUGCCAAAGGAAGGGGAAUUGGUUGCAAAGCUGCCCUAUUUACCUAAAAGAUCAUAAGGAUGGUAAAAUCAGAGUGUUUGACUAUGCUGCGUGUAAAGUCCACUAUCUAACUCUAUUAAGUUUCUAUUUGGAGAACCUUAUUACAUGAUGUGACUAGGUCACAUUUUGAUGUUUUUGUAGAAUCAAUGAAAAGAGAGGAAGCUUAAAGGAAGAGUAAGUUGAUUCUGAUCGCGAAGAGAUGGAUUUCGAUCGCAUGGUUCGAUGAUCAUAAUUUUGACCUGUUGCUUAAAGAGUUGUGAUAGAUUGCUUAGGAAUUCAUAACAACAUGGUUUUUCAUAUGUAUUUGCAUUGUAAGGAUAAGUUUUUCCGCAAGUUUUAAAAUAAAACAAAAUUUUUGAUUUUAUUUAUUUUAAGUGUCCUUACAUUGGCAUUUGUGAAAAAUUGUUGUUUAUAUAUUUCCAUUAAUAGCGAUAUUGGAAAAUAGAUUUGAUUCUUUUGUUUGUGGUAGUCUCAUAAUUUAGCAAAUAAGGAAAGAUUCUCAUCACCCAAGUUUCAGUUGGAUAGAAAAUUGGAAUCAUGCAACAUGUAUUAUAUGAUGAAUUAUAAUUUUCAUCUUUGGGAAAUUAAGACUAACUCCUUGUGCACAUGUAUAUGUGAGUCAAGUGAAUGACUAGGAGAUCAGGUACACUUGGUUGUGCGCUGGUCAGCUCCACCAGAAAGAUCGAUAAGGCUAUUCGUCAUGAUUUACUAAACUUUAGUGAAUAUGGGUAUACUUACAAGUUUAAGUGUAAUUCUGGUACAUUGGAAAAGUUUCAAUGUAAGGCAGAAUGAAUAAGAAGAAUCAAAUUAGGCAGAAAGAUAAAAGUUUCUCCAAUCUGAAAAGAUGGGAGAGUACUUGAGUCUCUUGUUUGUUGAUUAUUUUAGUGAUUACAAAACCAUAUCACAAUUGAUCCUCUAAGGACACCUUAAUGCAUUUGUUUGACUAAGAGGAAUCGUGAAUUGUUGAAAUGGUUAAAAUCAAAAAGGAUGAAUGAUACUUCGUUCCAAAACAAGUCUUAGAGUCAUACUCCAAGAUUGUAACUUGAGUGACAUAAUCCUUAGAAGGUUUAUAACACUUGUCAAAUGUAGAGUAAAAUGUUUUCUUACCUUUGUACAUUUAAAAUUGUCAUGUUGUGAUGUCUUGGAUAAGACAAAGACCAACUGUGACCAAUUGUGUUAAGUGUUUGUCUUGAUAAUGAAUCCGCACUAACUCUUGAAUAUUUGUUUGUCGAGGAAUGUUUAUUGACAAGAGAGUCUUAUAUGUCAAGAGGACAGUGGGAGUCUUAAAGGUCUUGAAAGUCUCAAGAACUAAUCAAGGUUGAAACCUAUUGUUUAUCACUAGCAUACGACUUGAGGUUUGCAACCUAUCGUGUUGGCAUAUUCUUGUUUCUGUGCCUGUUCCAGUUAAAGUUGACUAUACACAUGAGUUCUAUGAGUUCUCAAUUGUUUGCAUAACAACCUGGAAGCAAUGGUAGGCCUUUAUGCAGCCAGGUGGCAAGAAGUUAAGAUAACACAAGUUCAGUCCAUAUGAUUUUGGAUUUGUCACUAACCUUGUCUUGUGAUUAUCGUUAUGACAAAUUUACAUGGAUAUGAACACAUACACCAUAAGUCUCAUAAGGUUUCUCUCGGAUUCAUGAAAAUGAUGGUGAGGAAACGCUUUCACUAAGUAGAUUUUAAGUAGAUAGCAAUUGUGAUAUUUGCUUUAUCAAAGUUGUUAGUUGAGCGUGUGUGGUUAACUGGCACAUUAACAUGGACUUGUGAGAGAUGGCAAAGGUCUAAACAAUUGAGACUAUGAUUACAACAUCCCUUUUCGUAGUUCUAAAAAUUGUUUAGACACACAUGUGAGUUAUCUAAGGAAAGGUGUAUGAUUUUGAUAAAGUUUUGUCAAAGCAUCUCGUAUCAGAAAUCUGAACCUUGGUAAGAAAGUCAGUAAACUAUUGAUUUCUAGAAGUCCAGCUGAUUUAUGGAUACAUGUCAGAGCUAGUGGGAGCAUAAGUGUUAUGCUAGUAAGAUAAUAAUUAUUAAGCUAGUGGGAGCAUAAUUAGUUAUGGUAAAUAUUGCAAGUGGGAAACGUUAAUUAUAGAAAACAAAAGUUUCAAUUCGUGAAGUUGCAGGGGUUGAAAAGCUUGUUUUGCUAUAAUUAAGGGAGAGGAAAUUAUACUUCAGUUUAAUUCUAAAAGCUUAGAUUGUGAGAUUUUGAACAAAUUUAGUCAUGAUUACAUUAUUUGCAUUCUAAAAUUCGAUUUUGAUUACGACAUCCCUUUUCAUAAUCUGAAUUAUGAGAACAUUGCAAAUAGAAAUAUAAAUAUUAUAGCAAAAGAAUGGUAUAGUAUCAUUUCUUAAUGUAAGACAUCAUGAAUCGUGUGUCAUAUGCUUCAGAUAUAGGAUUGAUUACAUGUGUUGUAAUAUUCAUAUGUUCUAAAUUUUUCCAAAUGUCAAGGGCAUUAAGAGGGAAAAAGUACAAGAACUGGAUAUGACUAAAAUGAUUAAGCAAUUGUCGAGGACAAUCUGAGGUUUACCAAAUAUUGGUUGCUCAUGGAUAAUUGGAAGUAUAGUGUCAAUUUUGGGAGGACCAUAUUGACAUAUUCUAAAAGGAGGCAACUCUUCUUUAGAAGUGAUAGUCAAAAUGGAAUGUGGAAAUGUUUCCAUAGGUGGAAGUUAUUCUUUAAAUCUAUGUAAGAUUAGAAAACUUAAUGCAAGAAGGAUGUUCAAAGGAAUGUACUUUGAAUUUGAGACUUCAUUUCCAUGGAGUUUCUCUCCAUUGGAAUGCUUUGUAAUGUCUGUUGGCAAUUCUUUGUGACUUUUAUGCAUAGUCAUUACAAGAGGAUCAUGGCAUAUAAGUUUAGAAUCUAACAGAUUACAGUAAAUGGCAAGAUUUUUGUAUUCUUACAUUUGUAGGAAGGAUUUGGGAUUGUGAAAUGAGCAUCAUUGAAAUUAUGUUCAAUUGGUCUAUUUCACAAAGUAAGGAUCAUAGACACACAUAGUGUGCAUACUUGGAGUAUGGCAUAAGUAUUGUUUGGACAAACAUAGUUUGCAUGCUUGGAGCAUGACAUGACUAUUGUUUUAAUGCAAGUAUUAGGUUGAUAAAUCGAAACAUUGUACAAUGGAUAAUGUUUAAUCAAUAUGGUGAUAAGUAAAAAGGUGUUUUAUUUAUAUCCAUAAGUUCUGAGACCAUAUUGGAUUCAAUUAUUCUUGUGUUUCACUUUGCAUGUUUUGACUUCCAGAAUAACUAGGUUAUUCUUCCUGAAUGACUAAGUUAUUCAAACCAUCAACAGUCGAUAAUACGUUGGAAGUAGAUUUUAAGGCAAGAAUGUCAUGAAUUGGGUUUGUAGAUGUCUAAAGUAUUUAGACAUAGCCAAAGUUGCCACAACAUUCAUGAGUGCUCCUGGAAUGAGAUUCAAGUAUUGGAUUAAACCCACACUUAUUUGACUCACUUCAUGGAUUUUAUCAUGAGUGAUCAUGAGCCGAUAAUAUCUUAUAUUCUUCAUACCAAGAGAUAUGAGUUACAGUCUACAAGUCGGCUACACAUUGAUUAUGUGAAUACGCACCAGUAACUUGGUGUUAUAAAACACAUUUUUGUGUGUGAUUUGGUGCGUAUAUAGAGCAAGUAUAUGAGUAAAAGUUUAUCCAUUCCUUUUACCCUUGGAGGGAUAAAAGCAAUUUUGUAGGACCCUCGAUGAUUUAUUGAUGAAAAACGUAACUGAUCGGUCGGGCCUGGACUGAUUUGAUUUGUUCAAUUAGUCGAUCGUCAUUAAUCGGGAAUUGGGAAACAACAAAUGGACAGAGAGAAUGAUUAUAAUUCAUGUCUUAGUCAAUAUGAUAUCUAGAAUGGAGGAAUAUAUGAUCCCUUAUCUAAUGGACAAGUCAUUGACUGGGUCAGAGUUCGACAGCGGCUUUUAAGAGCUAUGAUUGCUAGUCGGGAUCUUAGAGUCAUGCGCAAUAAUAGUUUUAGACUUAUCCAAGUGGGAGACUGUUGGAUUAGAUGUUUAAGUCCAUAACUAUUAGUGGCAUGUACUCGACCCGAGAGUAGCAUGGUCCAUUUAGGUUACAUAACACCAGGACAAUUCGUUAGGAUGGACUCUUGAGAAAAGGUUAUAUAUAUGUAUAUGUGUAUAUAUAUAUAUAUAUAUAUAUAUGAUUUGUUAAUAUAUUGUAAGUUAUAAUAUAUUAAUAUGAAAUCAUAUGUUUUAAUUAGUAUUGAUCAAGAAUUAAUUUAGUGAUCAAAAGAAACUAAUUUAACCUAUGGGGAGUAAUUAUGGUAAUUAUGUAUAUUUAUAUGUGUUGGGCUUAUGAUCCAUGUUGGACCAUGUUUAUAUAUGGAUACAUAAAGAGUUGGGUCACAUGAACAAUGGAUCAUAAAACCCAAGGGUAUGGAUUUGGGUUAUAUCCAUGACUAUUGAAAUCCUACAUAUAAAUAUGUAGUCUAUUGCCUAAAAACACACUAGACUUGUUCUCGGGGCACUAAGUUCUUAAAGGCCAAAGUGUUUCAAGCAACACAAAAUACAUCAAGACUUCAAGCCACAUAAAAGGUAUGUUACUCUAACUAGCAUCUUGUAUUGUUUAUGUCAAUUGCAUGCUAGUUAUAGGUUUAAUGCCUUGGAAACCAUUUGCAUGUAUAAUUAGUGAAAAAAUAGAUCCAAUGUAUUUAGGGUUGUAUGUUCACCAUAGGAUGUUGUAAUAUACUAAAACCCAUCAAUUAUUACUUCACAAGUGGCAUCAAAUAUGUUCUGAGUCUUGACAAGUAUCUUCUGAUUUCCUAACAAGUGGUAUUAGAGAUGUAGUUUGUGAUUCUAUGAUUGAAUACAUCUACUCAUAUGUUUGAUUUGGAGAAUUUCAAUGGUCCAAAUGCCUUCAGUUUGUGGAAGGUGAAGAUGAAGGCACUUCUAGUUCAAUAGGGAUGUGCAACGACACUUGAAGGAGAAGAAAAACUACAAAAGGAUAUGGAGGCUGAAAGGAAGGUGGAUAUUCUCGCAAAAGUUCAUAACGCUAUUCAGUUGUGUUUGACAGAAAGAGUAUUGAGAGAGGUCGUGGAUCAAACAAGUGCAUCUAGGAUUUGGGUGAAAAUUGUGUAACAAGUAUCAAAGCAAUUCUUUGACUAACAGGCUAUAACAGAAGCAUCGUUUGUAUACGCUUAGGUUUUUGGAAAGCACCCAAGUCAGCGACCAUCUGGACAACUUCAAUAGGAUCAUAUUAGACUUACAAGGUGUGAAGGUAAAUAAUAACGAAGAAGAUUAAGUAGUUAUAUUGUAUGUUUACUGUCGAAUUCUUAUGAGAAUUUUUUUGAUAUCAUGUUAUAUGGUAGGACAACGGUCAUUGAUUAUCUUCUAUAGGUUAUCGGUUUUGUUAUCAGCUGCAUUUUCUUCAGAAUGGAUGGCAUUUUCUGGUUCAUCAAAAAGCAACAUGUACUCUUCAAACAUGUUGUAUGUCGGUGCAAUGACUUUACCAGUAACAGGAAAGAUUUCCUCUAUGGAACCUUCUCUUGAUUGGAAUUUCUUCAUGUAAUUGUCAUCAAAUCUGACAUAAUAGGUUUCUUCUAACUUCUUUGAUAUUUCGUUGAGAACCCUAUAUGCCUUGGAGGUUAGAGAGUACCCGAAGAAAAUCCCUUCAUCAACUUUCACAUCAAAUUUGUUUCGGCUCUCUUUGGAGUUGAAGAUGAAACAUUUGGAACUGAAGACAUGAAAAAACCUUACAUUAGGUUUGAGAUUUUAAAGGAUUUCAUAAGGAGUGACAUAAAAUCGCUUAUUGAGAAAGGAUCGGUUUUGGGUAUAGCAAGCAACAACGAUAGCAUCGGCCCAGAAAUACAGAGGAAGAGAAGCGGAGCUGAGCAUGGUUCGUGCUACUUCACACAAAGAUCGGGUGCGUCUUUCAACCACUCCAUUCUGAAAUGGAGUGUAAGGAGUAGAGAAAUUGUGUGUGACUCCCCUUUCGGCUAGAAAUUCUUCAAAAUCUUUGUUCUUGAAUUCCAAUCCGUUGUCGCUUCUGAUGUUACGAACUAGCUUUCGAAACUAAACUUCCACUUACUAUAUGAAGUUCUUCAGCUUUGGAGUAGCCUCUGAUUUAUGUUUAAGAAAAUAUACCCAAGUGAAAUGGGAAAAUUCAUCAAUGAUAGCAAGUAUAAACUUACUACCGCCAAUACUCUCAUUUGCAGAUGGUCGACAUAGAUCAAUAUGAAGAAGCUCAACAAGCUUGAUGAUCUUUGUACUUACAAGAGUUGGAUGACUCUUUCUGCUUUGCUUUCCCAUUUCGCUGCAGCACAUNCUCCUUAUCAUACUUCAAGAGGGGAAGACCUCUCACAUGAUCACCAAGAACAAUUUUGUUGAUAUCUUUAAUGUUUAGGUACGAGAGUCUUCGGUGCCAUAACCAACUUUCAUCAGAGUGAGCCUUUGUUAGUAGACAUACAACAGGCUUCCCUCAUAUCAGAUUUAGAUUAAGCAGAUACAUCUUGCCUUUUCUCUGCGACUUCAGUACAACUGUUUUCGUUUUCUUCUCUAUGAUAUCUGAUCCUUCAUCAUCAAACGAAACCAUCAGACCAGUUCUCACAACCAAUUGUGAAACACUGAUUAGGUUGUGUUGCAAUCCUUCCACACAGGCAACUUUACGGAUUGAUAAAUCUCCAUUUGUAAUCAUACCAUAGCCCUUUAUCAUGCCAUAAUAGUUGUUUCCGUACUUGACAUAUCCACCAUCUUUGAGAGCAUGAAACUCCCUCAGCUCUUCCUUCCUUCCUGUCAUGUGACGCGAGCAGCUACUAUCAAUAUACCAUUCCUUGUCGAACUGCUCGCCACGUAUAAUCUGCAUAAAUUAAGCAGAUUUGGGAACCCAAAGUUGUGUGGGUCCUUGUGAGCCUUUUACAGGACAAGGUAAAGCAAUAGAAAGAUCAACCAUAUGUAUUUGUUUUAUUAAAGUGGUUUCGUCUUUUCUUUUAAUGGUGAAAACUUUGAUUUUGUUAUUUGCUUUGUUUGAAUCAUUUUGUUUUUCUUUAUGUUGAUUCUUAACAACUCGUUACGUAUCCUUCCUAAGGUUAGAAGUCAUCUUCUUUAUUUGCUCUUCUGAAUCGGAUACGAGCUUUCCCUUUCCUUUAACAUCCUUAAGAGAAGUUUGAUUUGGUUGGGAGUGAGGAUGGUUGUUUUUGGCAGUGAAAUUUCUUGUUGAUAAUGACCUAUGAGCGAGAUGUCCAUUUUGUUUCUGUGAAGCACAAGAAUGACAGUGAGAACACUGCUUGGGUUUUUCCUGCGAAUUUGCUUUCGCUCUUUGAGAAGAAGACUUUUCUUUAUGCACAUAGUUAGAGUUCUGGGAUUGCCAAAACUGCUUCCUUUCCUUGAGAUUCUUUUGAUAUCUCCUGUUUCAUUGACGCUUUUUCUCUGCAAGUUGCUUGGAAGAUUUGUGAAUAUUCGCAUUCGAUUUCGGUUUCCUUGCAUGCGUUUAGCUCGUUACUGACUGAGAUUCGCUUGUCCUUUUGGUCUCGCUUUGAGCUUCUUUAGUACCACUUGUAGUUACUUUAGAGAAGUUAGAUGGCUUGUUGAUUGGUUCAGCCACAUAUUUGCCUUUCACCCUCCACGAGGUUCGUUCUGAUAAUCCUUUUGUUUCAUCUGCAUUAUCAAUCAGGGCAGACCAAAAUUACUCAUCACAGCCAUCAUCAUUAUCUUCAUCUACCAGGGAAGUUAACUCAACAGUUUGCUUCUUGGUAACUCUAGUGGUGGCGUACACUUAAUUCGGUACAGUUUGUACCUUUUGGUAUACCACUACCUUUUCUUUUAGGACUUUGUUCUGGUCUUUAGAUGAUCGAGCGAACUCAAGAUAGUUUUCAUAUAUAAAGACUUUUGCUAGUUCAGGUUCGGUUUUAACAAAUUCAGAACAUUCAACCACGUCCUCUGUAGAAAUUUCACUCAUAUCAUUGUCGUUGUCAAAUUCAGAAGUAUUGUCCGCAUCAAUCUUGUUUUCUGAACUUAACUUGGUACUCAAUGAAUCAAAAAUCUAUACGGUUUCGGUCUUAAUUUUAAACUUGUCAUUAUCGUCCAAUAAGUUUUUAAGCAUGUCCUUGUGGUCAUUUGACUUAAUAAAGGACUCAAUUUUGUCCAGACCAAUCCUAUAGGCAUCAGUGGUUUCUUCUGAUGAGACAAUUGACUCACAGUUAUAACAAUCAGUAUCCAUUUCGUCUUCCUUUAGUUCAAGAAAAGGCAAAAUCAUUUUGUGAAUCUUUUUGCCAAUAUCGUAGUGUAGAUGCAUCUGAGUAAUAUUUAUAUAAAGAAGUUUAGCAAUUAAACAAAAAAUAUUCCUUCGUUUCAAAAUUUUCAAAUUGUCUCGUUGCAAAUAUAUCAAUUCGUCUCUUGCCCUAACCAAGUCUAUCUCCUUCUGCUUUAUCCAUAUCCUUCGCUCCUCACUCUUAGAUGACACCCUACUAAGUUGAUCAGUUAGGUUAGCAUUUGUGAGGCGAGUUUGAUUUAGGCUACCACUUAGACUAGAAAAUUUAGAUUUUAAAUCAUUUAAUUUCUUUUUAUAGUUAGAAACGGGUAAUUUGAGUUUUUCAAGGAUCGAAUUUACCUUCUUGUUCAACUGAUCACAUUCGUUGAUCUGUUCUCCAACCGGUUUCGUUGUGAAGCAUUUAUCCUCCAUCUCUUUCACUUCAUCAUCCUCACCAUCUAUUGUGUAACCUCUCAUUUGUGACACUCCAUCCGUCACCAUCAUACACUUUCCUGGCAAACCAGAACCUUCUUCUUUCGCUACGAAUUCCCUGCCAUGAGUGGGCUUGUGUACUUCCUCAUCUUCCGAAUCAGUAGACCAGACCUCUACUCCACCGAACUCGUUUUAUUCAACAUUUUCACGCACAAGUAACACAUGCAAGGAUUUAUAUUUAGACUUCUUUUUCUUGGCUUAAUCAAGCUUACAAGUGUGGUAAGCUUCAUCGUCUUCACCCUCUUUCUUCUCAUUCAUUCUUCUUAACAUGCAUUCCUUUGCUAUAUGGUUUUUUCCAUGAAAUAAUUGCAGUCAUAGCCCGAGUCACCCACAAGUUUUCUCUCUUUCUUUUCCUCUUCUUUUUUAGGAGCACUUUUAAUCUCCUCUUUUGCCUUCUCCGAACUAUAGCUUCCCUUCCAGUUUCGGUUCUUGGCUGGGAACUUCUUUCUUACAAACCGCUUGGGAUUAGAUAACAUCAAUGCAUAUUCUUCAUCUGUCAGAUCACAUUCAGAAAGGUUAGACUCUAUUUCUUCUUCAAUCAAAUUCUUACCCUUUGAGAUAAGAUCCAAUGAUCCCAUUCCCUAAACUACUUUCAUUUCCUUCGUGACAACACUUUCAUGAGACUUGUGAAUUCCCACGAGCUUCGCCAACGAAUUGGAUUUAAACUGUUCAUGAGCUUAAAAACAGUUGAAACCACAACCAUCCAUUCUGGCCUUAGAACUUUCAUAAAGGUGACUUUCUGCUCGAUCACCUCUCUGCCAAUUCUAUUCUUGAUCAUCUUGCUGAGAAGAUGGUUCUAACGAUCGAAUGUUUGAAUGAGACUUUCAUCUUGCUUUUGCUUGAAGUCACCAAACUCUGAAAGUAGAAGAGUUUGAGUAGAAUGUUCGAGAUCCUCAUCGGUGGAAUACAACUCCUUAAGCUGGUCUCAAAUCUCUUUUGUAGUGGUACAUGCACUCACCAGAUGAAAGGUGUCAGAUUUUAAAGCGAAUCUGAUCAUCCUCAUUGCUUUUAUGUUGUUAAGCAGCUUGUCCUUCUCGUCUUGAGUAACAUCUUUCACAUCAAUGAUUAACUGAUUAUACUCUUUUUGAGUGUUGAUGGUUCUUUUGGUUCCAGUAUGAGAAAAGGACCCACAGUAAUUGCCUCCCAGAUUAGAUAUCCGUUGUCCUCUGAACCAAGAACAUAAUCUUCAAAGUGAAGAGCCCAAAAUUGAUACUCUUGAGUAUACAAGAUCGUAAUCCUUGUAGUCGAACCAAUGAUGUUGGAGAUGUUAAUGGGAUUGGUUUGAGAGUCGUCAUGAUACAUAAUGACUUGAUCUGUUUACCUAUCAAGAAUCAGACUUGUAAAGCAUUAUUAAGGUAAUAUUGAGAUCUGUCAAAAACGUCAAUGAAGAGAUGACGGCUCAAUAGAUUCAAUAAAAGCGGAAACCCUAAAAAUAUUCUUCAAACAGAAGAGAUGCGUAUGAUUUACACAGCCUCCUGCUCUGAUACCAAUUGAUGAGAUUAAAACGUUUAGAUCGAUAAGAUUCUUAAACAAAUAAAUCAAGAACACAAUGAAAAAAAGAACACCAGAUGAAUCAAUUCUUAUGUCGAAAUAUUAAUAAGUCAUGACCUUAGAAGAACUCUAUGAAGAAUUGCUACUAUAGAGGUGUGCUAGGGUUACAAUACGAUCAAAGAGAAUCAAUUAUCAAAAGCAUACAUACUAAGCUGCAUGUACGGACUAUAUAAUGUAAACCCUAAUAAAUGUAAUAUUGUUGGACAUGCUCAUAACUGAGAGCACAAUAGACCUAGACAAUAGACCCAAUGAUGCAACACUUCAUAACUCAACAAAUAUGAUAAUGGAAGAAAGUUGUGGCAUCAUAAGUUGGGACGUGUGAGCAAGGAUGGGUUUUUUGGUGUAGAUACAUCUGGAAAUACUAUACCCGAUGAAGCUUAUGUUUGAGAGAUGCAAAGUAAGGUGAAGCUUAGUUUGGUUCAACACUUAAGCAAGGAUAUUCUUGAGUUUGUUCACUCUAAUCUAUCGGUCCCUCUCAUGUGAAGUAUCAUGGUAUAUGUCAAUACUUCAUGACUUUUAUUGAUUAUUACUCAAGGAAGACCUUUGUACUUUCUAAAGACAACAUACCAAGAUGAAGUAUUUGGGCAGUUUAAGGAGUGGAAGACCAUGGUUGAGAAAUAGACCGAGAACCAUGUCAAGUCACUCAGAAUGGAAAAUAGGUUGGAGUUCUGCAAGGCUUCGUUUGACAACUUUUGCAAAACAGAAGGUAUACUUAGGCAUCACACUGUAUGGAUAACACCAUAGAAAGCCGAGUGACAUGACAAAUGAACCAAACACCGGUGAAGCAUGCUCAAUGUAUGCGAUUAUCUGCUGAUUUGUCAAAGCAAUUCUAGGCAGAAAUAAUAAACAUUAGUUGCUAUCUAGAGAAAAGAUCUCUAUCAACUACAAUUGUUUGUAAGACUCCUUAAGAGGUGUGUUCUGGGAAACCCUCUGAGAAUUCUCGUUUACGAAUGUUUGGAUGCCUUGCUUACACUCAUAUGACCGAUGGUAAACUGGUGUCGAGCGCAACGAAGUCCAUAUUUCUAGGAUUUGCGUCUGGAAGGAAAGGUCAUCGUUUGUAGUGUACAGAAGAAGGAAAUAGUCUACAAGUCAUUAUUAGCAGAGAUGUGACAUUUGAAUAUGCUAUGUGUAACCAGAGAGGAUAUGGUAGAAGUGUUGUGGGGAAUGAUCAGGGUGCUAGCCAUAUGGUAGAGUCCAAAGCAGAAACCCCAUACAGUUUUGUGAUAAAUAAGGAACAACAGGGUGGCAGGAACAACAUAGACGUGAAGAAUCCCUUGUUCAACUGAGGUAAGAAGUGUCUGGUGACGCUAAUAUCGGGAAAGACAACAUAAUGAAUCCUCUAGAGAAUGAGCUUGUGAUGAACAAUUUAGGAGAUGAAAAGAAGAUAACAAGAAUGGAGAUUCAGAGUGAUAGAAGAGCAGGAUGAUUAUACAUUUCUCAUUACAUUGUGAAACAUGUUGUUACUUUUUCGAGAGAUUCGAGGCAAUCAGGGGAAUACUCAUUGGGAAGUGGUCAAGUGGAUCUUGCAAAACUUGAAGCUUUUCUAGUUUAUGGUGCCAAUACACAACAUAUAGAUUUGGUUGGAUUGAUAGACUCAGACCAUGAAAGUGAUCUGGUGAUAAGUAUAACAUUGGUGGUUGGUUUCUUUUAGGGUGUUCUUUUGGAGGUUGGAAAAGCCAAUCAUACUCUAUGACAGCUUAUGCAUUCUAAACUUUGGUGCCAAGGAGAAUCUAGAGGACAUAGUGACAAGGUCGUUGCCCAGAGAGAUGUUCAAGCUUUGAUUGGAUUGUGUUAAUGUUCGUAGGAAGUAAGCCUUUUUGGGGCUUGAUGGCAGGAAGGGAGAGUAAGUUCUUGUUCAAGGUGGAGUUCAAAGGAUGCUCAAGUAAAGGUGUAUAUUGUUAAAUAUAACUCGAUUAUUUGGAGCAUUCUCACGGAGCAUUUGGAGCACAUAGAACUAAAUGGAGCACUUGCAGUUCAUGGAGCAUGUGAAAAAGAAUGGAUUAUCUAAGAUGGAUUUGGAUCAAUUACCAAAGGAACGGAUCAUCUAAAAGGUGGCUUAGACCAACUUGGAGUGGCUUGGAGCAACUUGCAGUGACUUGGAGCAACUUGGGGCAACUUCGAGCAACAUGGUCCAACAUGUUGCACCGUGAAGAUGUUGAGCCAUGAAGAUGAUUGAGCCAUGUGAAGAUGUUGAGCCAAAUGAAGAUGUUGUUCCAAGUGAGGAUGUUGAGCCAAGUGAAGAUGUUGAACUUACAUGGAGAAGUUAAUCCAUCAAGGAGAAGUUACGCCACCUUUGGGUGAUGUUGAGCAAAGCAUGAAGGAUGUUGCACAAUCCUUGCAGAAGAUUGGUGUCACACCGCUAGCCGGCGGCGAAAACACCAGGCGAUAUGACGACAUCAUGGAUCACAAUAAUAAGCAUACAUUGAACAUAUAAACAAUACAGUAGUAGAAUAAGUACUUUCAUUCAUUGAAAUAUGUAGAUUACAAUAUCCCUUAGUCUAGGGUUCAACAAAAGUACAAAACACGCAUUAAUAGAUAGGAAAGAAGGGAAAUAUGUAAAGAUAAAAGAUCACUACAAUCCCAUGAUCAUCCUUGUAGUACAUUUCGAGUUGGUAAGUACUUUUCGAUACUGAAAAGUCUUAUUUGGAUAUACAGAUAGUUCUUUAUCCAUAUACUUAAUGUGUCUUUAUUAUCCUGACUUCGAUAACUAAGUUCUUGAUAAAAAGAUAUUCCCUAUAGGCAUCUCCAGUUUCGUAUACUCCAUUAUAUUUUAUAGGUAUUUCAAGUUUCCUAUACAUAUUCCAUUCACUGUGAGUUCCAUAACCGAGUUAUUUCAUACUGAUAUGCCUCUAUUGGUGCUUCAUUAGGGCGUCAAUUAGUAGAAAAGACAAUUAUCACCCAGUCUGACUCGACCAUCAAGGUUGUAACUAGCAACUGUUGGUGGGGGUGUGAACCCGUAUAGAUCUAUUCGAAAUUCUCCCGUUCUUGCAUUUAUUGGUUAUAAGGAAGAGGUCUUUCUGAGUAUAGUGAUACUUAGGCUGAUGAAUAAAAGGCUCACAUGAAUUUAAAGAAUAUUCAUAACCCUAACUUUAAUAACAAGUUUUUGGUUAUUAUUUCCGUACCAAUACAUAAUACUAUAAUUAUUCCUUAAUUCAAGGUUCCACAAUAAGGUUGUUUCAUUGGGUAUUGAAAUAGAUUUAUUUACAAUACAAUCCUACUAUAUCAUUUAUUUAACAGAUUCUCGAUACAGAUUUAAUAACAUUUCUAUAAUCCUAAUACAAAUAAACAGUUAUUGCAUGUAUUUCUUCCAAAAAUGAUAGAAUAUUUUAAAUGGGCCAUGACACUCACUUAUAAGGUUAGUAGUCGAGAAACCGAAGAGAAAAAGAUUUUUUUGUAAUUUGCCAAUUUUGCACUAUGAUGAAUAUUAACUUUCACUGAUGAAUAGUAUUGUUGAUCGGCAUUAAUAGUAUCCAAUCGGAGCUUGAUCAGAAUACCACACAAAUCUAGCUGGACAAAUACAACUUGAUCAGAAUACCACACAAAUUUGGCUACAAAACUACUCAGUCGACUGCUAACGACGGCGACAAAUGCUGGCCAGCGGCCGCAAUCAGUGUUCUUGGCUUUGUCGGAGUUGCUGAUUGGAUGAUGAAAUCUGAACGAAGUGGUGUUGGUGAGUACUCGACGGAAUCAGCAGCGAGAACCAGUUAUUCGAGCCAUUCACGCAUAUUCACCGAGGCGGAGGUGGGUUGCCAAGGUGGCUCACGACAGCGACAGUAACCGAGAGAGAGAGAGAGAGAGAGAGAGAGAGAGAGACGUGAGAGGGGGAGAGAGAAGUGAAUUUAAGAGAAAAUGAGGGAUCCCCUCGCUCACAUUUAUAAUUUUUCCGAUUCUAAUCCAAGGCCAGAGAGAGAAAGCAAUUUGAUGAUCAGCAUCAAUCCUAGCUUUUUAAGCCUAUCCGACCUAGGUGACACGCUUUCGAAAAUUUUUAAGAGACGACUGGUAACGACCUAAAAACCCUUCCAUUAAUGAUGUUAGUUUUCCGUUACUCGAAAAUUAUUUUUGUAAAAUUAUUUCGAUUUAAAAGGUAUAGAAUAAAAUAAAUUCAAGUAAAAGGGAAUCAAUUAAUACCUAUAAUAAUUAAUGGAUAUAUUCAAAAAGUAUAUAAUUUAAUUAAUUUAUUUUUGUGGAAAAUAAGUUCAAAAUAGUUCAUUAAAGUGUCUAAAUGACAUAGAGGGGUUAGAAUGUCAUUAAGAGAAACUUGAUUUAUUAAGGAAAUUGAUAAAUUGUUAAAUGAAUUAAUUGGAAAUGAGUAGAUGGUUAAAAAGUCAAAAUAUGAAUAAAAACCCUUAUAUGUUACGUUUACUUUGUGAGCAAUAAGUAUGUACGAUUUUGUUGAAGCAUUCAAUUUGAUCGUUUUUUGGGCUAUUGUGCUUACAUUGAACAUUAGAGAGAAUUAGAUUAAGUGAUUGCAUUUGGAAGUCCAAUGAGGGAGGGAACGAUCAUCGAUUAGCAAAGGAGGGAAGAAAAAAACGAUCAACAAAGGAAGAAGGAAAAAACGACGACAUGAAGUUCAGAGGUGGAUCGACAGGUCUUGAUUCGAGGCUAUAAUUGACGCCUAAAUUAAUUUUCGUCAUGGGUAAGUUUCUUGAUUUUCUUCUUCCUCAAGUCUUCAUACUUCAAUUGGUUUGAAAUUGAUAGCAAUAUUGAAGCCAAAUUUCUUUCUUUUGGUGUUGGUGAUCAUGUUUUCUUUCACUUCAAUCUUAUGGCUUCUUAUAUAGUCAGAAUCCCAUCCAUGUUCUAGCCUAGUUUUUCUGUCAGAAGUCUCCCAUAAAUGCUCUCUUCUAUGUUGGUAUUAGUGUGUAAGUGUUCAUUGGAAUUGUGGAUCGAUUGCCUUCUAUUCGGUGUAAAAAAUUCAUCUUUCUUUUACUUUCAAUUCUAAUGAUUUCAUGUGAUUUCAUGAGUAUAAUUUUCUGCAUAAAAAUAAUAUGUUUAACCAUUCAUAAGUUACUUAAAACAUUUCUUAAAUGUCUUUAUAAGUAGUUUAAUGGUGGAGGAAACUCUUGCCCUUAAUGUUGUUUUCCCUUUUAGCAAGGUAGUUGGUUUUUCCCAUAAAAGCAAUGUUGUUUGAGUCAUGGUUUGAGGUUGAAAUUGUUAUUUUAACUUGUUGACAUGUUGUUACUGUUAAGAAUUUGAUUUCCAUCUUUAUUGUUGAUUUUGAUUAUGGCUUAACGGGUUAAGUUGUCAAUUAACCCUUAAAAUUUAAAGUUGGAAAAUUUCGGAAAAUUCUAAUUCUGUCCAUGUUUUCAAAGAAAUCUAGAAAAAUCAUCAAGAGUCGGAUUAGGGAUUAGUAAACUCUCAAAGUUUUAUUUUGAGUCUAGUUUGUAACUGUUUUUACCAAGGUCUGAUUUUGUUUCUAACCAAGGUGAAAAUCGUUAUUUUCACUGACUGGUCAGAAAUUAGCUGCACAUAUAUACAAUGUUGUAAAAUUCGUAUAUAAUUCUAGAAACAUCAUAUGGAAUUGUGCGAAAAGUUUAUGAAAAUCUAAAGUUCUUGUAUACUAGAAUAUGAAAAAAAUAUUGUAACUAAUAUACGCCUAAGUGGGGGCUAAAUUGGCCUUGAACAUGCAGUUGUUUCAUGUCCAAAUCUAAGAGUUUGAUCUAAUAAGUAAUUUGCAUGUUUGGGUAGUAAAUUGUGAGUCUAUGUUCAUGUAAGCUUCAAGUAUUCCAUUUAUUUGCGUUUUCAUAGGGUAAUGUUUGACACCUCAGUUCCUACAAGAUUUGAAGUGUAGAGGGGUCACAUUUUUUACAAAGGUGAGUCAUUUCUUGUGGUUAAUUAUCACUUGUUUAAGGGGUAGCAUGCUUGUACACUUCUUUGGUUGAUGUGAUGAAUGUUUGAUCUUAUGUUCUCCUUUGUAUGUGAUAUAUGCAAGUCUGAUCUUGUAAUGUAUGUGCGGUAAUAUUGAAUGUUGGACUCUUGGUAUGCUAGUAAUUCUUAUAUGAAUUAAAGGUAGCAAAUUUGUGAUGCUAGUCGUGAGUGUGCUCCUAUUGGUUUGAAAAUGAUAUUUGUAUGCUACUUGUUGUUUUGUCAAAUUUGAAUAAAACUAAGAAUUGCAGGCUAGAGAGUUGAUUUCUUAAAGGUGUAUGUCACACCCCCAAACCAGAAUGGCGGAAACAUUCGGGGGUGGAUGACUUCACGUAGUAUCACAACAAUUGAAUAUUGUAAAGAAAGUAACACAACCAUCAUAUAUAUAAUAAAAACGUAUAUUGUUGCGUUAUACAUAUUUGCAAAUGAAUAUUACAAUAUGAUGAUAUAAAUGUUUAAUAAUAAACGUCCUUGGUGUUUCUUCUUCAAAAGCUCGUGGUUACCUGUAAUUUCACUUUUUACGUUAAAUAAUAUUUUAACGGUGUGCCGUAAAUAUUCACGUGGUUAUAAUUUUUUCAAUAUAACUCGGUUUCAAAUGUUCUUUAUUUUGUUGGAAACCUUGGCACGAUAUCUAAUAUUUGAUGCAUCUUAAUUUAGAUAUUUGAACACUUUAUUUUUGAGGUUAAUUUCGUUGAUUCCAAAUAGUUUUCGUUGUAUUUGACUUUUGAGUGUUACAUCGCUUUUGGAAAAUAUGGGGUUGUCACAUCAUCCCCCCGUUAGCGGAAUUUCGUCCCGAAAUUUAAUCUAAGAUAGAGUUUACAGGUUAGGAAAAAGAUGCAGGUACUUUUGUUUCAUCUGAUCCUUACGUUCCCAGCUGUAUUCAGGUCCUCGUUUGGCGUUCCAGCGGACCUUUACAAUAGGUAUGCGGCUUUGUUUAGUCCUUUUUAUUUCCUGAUCCAUGAUCUCUACUGGUUCCUCUACAAAUUGGAGAUGCUCAUUUAUUCCAAUUUCGUCUAGAGGGAUGACAAGGGUCUCAUCGGACAAGCACUUCUUUAGGUUUGAUAGGUGGAAGGUAGGUUGUACGUUGUGGAGCUCCUGUGGUAAUCUAAGUUAGUAAGCCACUGGACCGAUCCUGGCAAGGAUCUCGAAUGGUCCGAUGUAUCUUGGGUUCAGUUUCUCACGCUUUCCGAAACGUAUCAACCCCUUCCAGGUCGAGACUUUUAGUAGGACUCGAUCUCCAACCUGGAAUUCCAAGGGUUUCCGUCUUUUAUCCGCGUAACUCUUUUGUCUGUCCCUUGAUGCUUUCAGACAUUCCCGGAUCCAGACAAUUUUCUCCGUAGUUUCCCUUAUGAUUUUUGGUCCAGUGAGUGUGUUGUCUGUUGCUUGUCCUUUUGCUAGUUGAGUGUCCCCUACUUCGGCCCAGCACAGAGGUGACCUGCAUUUUCGGCCGUAGAGGGCUUCGAACGGGGCAACCUUGAUAGUAGUGUGGUAGCUAUUGUUGUACGAGAACUCGACCAAGGGUAGAUGGGUAUCCCAUGCUUUGCCAAAAUCGAUUACGCAGGAUCUCAACAUAUCUUCUAGGGUUUGUAUGGUUCUCUCACUCUGACCAUCGGUUUGUGGCUGAUAAGUAGUACUCAUGCCCAGUCUUGUUCCUAGAUAUUUUUGUAGUGACUGCCAGAACCUUGAGGUGAAUCUACUAUCUCGGUCCGAGAUAAUGGAGAUGGGCACACCAUGUAGUCGUAUAAUUUCUCUAAGGUAUGUCCUAAUUAGCUUCUCCAAUUUAUCCAUCUCUUUGAUCGGUAGGAAGUGCGCUGAUUUAGUUAACCUGUCGACGAUCACCCAGAUAGUGUCGAGUCCGCUUGCCAUUCUGGGUAGUUUGGUUAUGAAAUCCAUGGUUAUACGUUCCCACUUCCAUUCGGGUAUUUCUGGUUGUUGCAACAAUCCUGAGGGCUUUUGGUAUUCUACCUUGACCUUGGCGCACGUCAGACAUUUACUCACGUAGGUAGCAAUUUCGGCUUUCAUGUUCGGCCACCAGUACAAUUUCUUGAGGUCGAGAUACAUCUUAUCAGAGCCGGGGUGUAUGGAGUAUCGUGUUUUAUGGGCUUCGUUCAUGACGACUUCUCUGAAUCCGCCAAACUUCGGCGUCCAGAUCCGAUCCAUGAAGUAAUGAACUCCAUCAUUCUUGACCUCAAACUUCUUAUCCAUUCCCCUUAAGGCUUCCCCUGCCACAUUUACCGAUGUUAAGGCUUCUAUCUGGGCUUCCUUGAUUUGUGUGGACAGGUGUGAAUGGAUUGUCAUGGUUAAAGACUUCACUCUGCGGCCCGAGUAUUCCUUCCGGCUGAGUGCAUCGGCCACCACGUUAGCCUUUCCGGGAUGAUAUCGAAUCUCGCAUUCAUAAUCAUUUAGUAGUUCUACCCACCGUCUUUGUCUCAUGUUGAGUUCUUUCUGGUUGAGGAUAUGUUGGAGGCUUUUAUGGUCGGUGAAGAUCGUACAUUUCGUGCCGUAGAGAUAGUGUCUCCAUAUCUUUAGAGCGAAGAUGACUGCUCCUAGCUCAAGAUCGUGCGUUGUGUAGUUCACUUCGUGCGUCUUUAGUUGCCUUGAGGCGUAGGCGAUGACCUUCCCUCGUUGCAUCAGGACACACCCAAGUCCUUGGUUUGAUGCAUCGCAAUAGACCACGAAGUCCUCCGUUCCUUCGGGCAAGGUUAGGAUGGGCGCACUACAUAAGGCUCGCUUUAGCGUUUGAAACGAGGCGUCUUGUUUUUCUCCCCAGUCGAAGGUCACACUCUUCUGAGUUAGGGUGGUAAGUGGUUUGGCAAUCUUCGAAAAGUUCUGUAUGAACCUUCGGUAAUACCCGGCGAGUCCCAAAAAUUGCCGGAUUUCUGUAGGGGUCCUUGGUGUCGUCCAACUUUCUAUUGCCUUGAUCUUAGAAGGAUCCACGUGUAUCCCCUCCUUGCUUACUACAUGUCCUAGGAAAUCCACUUUCCGAAUCCAAAAUUCGCACUUGGAAAAUUUUGCGUAAAGCUUCUCUGCCCUCAACGUUUCCAAAACUUGGCGGAGGUGUUGGCUGUGUUCUUCCUGGCUUCUAGAAUAGAUGAGUAUAUCAUCUAUGAACACGAUCACGAAUUUAUCCAGGAAGGGACGACAUACUCGGUUCAUCAAGUCCAUGAACACCGCUGGAGCAUUUGUCAAUCCGAAGGGCAUUACUACAAACUCGUAGUGACCAUAACGUGUUCGGAAAGCCGUUUUGGGGAUGUCUCCUUCCAGCACUCGCAGUUGGUGAUAACCAGAUCUUAGAUCGAUCUUUGAGAAGUAGCUUGCUCCCUGCAGUUGGUCGAACAGAUCGUCUAUGCGCGGUAGGGGAUAUCGGUUCUUGAUCGUGAGUUUGUUCAGCUCCCGAUAAUCGAUGCACAUGCGAAAGGAUCCGUCCUUCUUUUUCACGAAUAGGACUGGUGCUCCCCAUGGUGAGAAGCUCGGUCUGAUGAAUCCCUUGCUCAGCAGCUCGUUUAAUUGACUGGACAGUUCCUGCAUCUCGGCUGGGGCUAAACGGUAAGGCGACUUUGCUACAGGGGUAGCUCCGGGGAUUAAGUCGAUUCUGAACUCAACUUGGCGCUCUGGUGGAAUUCCUGGAAGAUCUUCUGGGAAAAUAUCUGGGAAGUUGCAGACUUCCGGAAUGUCUUUAAUGUUCUUUGGUUCUUGUUUCUGGUCUACUACGUGGGCUAGAAAGGCAUGGUAUUCCUUACGAAGAUAUUUUUGUGCUUUAACACAGGAGAUGAUUUGUAAAUUUGAACUAGGUUUGUCUCCCUAUAUGACAAGAGUUUCGCUGUUAGGCAGGUUGAGACGAACGGCCUUUUCGUGACAAAGAAUAUCGGCAUGGUGAAGACUUAGCCAGUCCAUACCAAUGAUUACAUCAAAACUUCUUAUCGAAAUGGGCAUAAGGUCGAUUUGAAAUAAGUGUUCAUUUAAAUUUAAUGUGCACCCUACGUACAUAUCGCUUGUGCUUUCCAUUUUACCGUUAGCCAUUUCUACAAUGAAUAUUUUAUUGAGUGGUUGGGGUCUUUGAUUAUGUAAGUGUUUGAAUUUAUGACUCACAAAACUCCUCUCCGCACCGCAGUCAAAGAGUAUGCAUGCAUAAAUGUGGUCGAGGAGAAACGUACCCGUAACCACUGUUGGGUCGGCUAUUGCUUCAUUUUGACCUAUUACCAGCACUCUCCCAACACCGCCAAUGUUCCUUGCCUUGGGGCAGUCCCUCUUGAAGUGCCCGGUUUCUCCACACCCAUAACAUGCCUGGCUUAUCCUAGUACCAGGAACUUGAGUGACUGGUCGCGUUGGUGCCUUACAGAAACAGGCUGUGUGCGCUUUCCAGUCGCAGUUCUUACAGUGCAUCUCGCGGCAAUUACCGUGGUGAUGGUAGUUGCAUUUGCUGCACUUUGGCAGGUUCCCCGCAUAUUGUUUUGUUGGCGCAGGGGUAGCAGGAGUUGUGGUGGGAGCAGAGCAGCAUGAACCGCAACCAUUUGUUUCUUUGAAGGUUCUUGCGAAGUUUUCCCCUUUCUCUAGUUCCAGAAUUUCUUCUUGCUGUUGUUGUUGGCAUUGAUAUCGUUGUUGUUGUUCCCUUUGGUUGGUUCAGCCAUGAUAGCCGUGACUCCAUGAUAGACACCAUGAUCAACGAGAGAUUGUGCCAGUUCCUUGGCGUUGUCGAAGGUUAUGGGUUUGGACGCUAACACACUUCCUCGAAGUUGGGGUGAUAGUCCCCAUAUGUACCUCUCGACCUUUUGGCUUUCCAGGAUCAACAUCCCUGGGCAAAGUGUUAUCAAAUCACCGAAUCUGUUGGUGUAGCCUACGAUGUCCGAGCCUACCAUCGAAAGGCCCCACAAUUCCUGUUCGAGCUUCUGAAUCUCGCCUCUUGGGCAGUACUCUCGAAGGAGCAUUCGCUUCAGGUUUUCCCAACCCAUGGAGUUUGCCACCACUAAGGUUAGUGUAUUGACGUGGCCGUUCAACCAUGUAAGGGCGCGUUUAGAGAAAGUAAAAGCAGCAUAUUUUACUUUGCUUUCUUCAGGGCAUGCGCAAAUUUCGAAUACAGCUUCCGUUUUCUCUAUCCAUUGGGAUAGAGCCAAUACUCCCCCAGUCCCACAAAAGGGAAUAUGUUUUCCGUUGGUGAAAUCUUUGUAAGUGAAUACCCCUGAACGGCCUUGACCUUGGCUAUUUGUAAAGCUGUUUGUUCCUCAACCUGACCCAUUAUUGCUCAUUUGAGCCAUCGCUGCGGUUACAGCGGUAGUUACAGCAGUUUGGAACAUGGCGGCAUCCAUAAUUGGAGGAGGUGGUGGAGGUGGUGUUGAAGUUGAGUUUCUGCGUGCUGAUCUACGAGGAGGCAUGUUCUGGUAGAGAAAAUAAGAAUGAAUACUAUAAGUUUCUAAUGUUUUGACAAUCGUGUUCUAGAGGGUUAGUUGUAUUUUGUAAUUUGUUUUGACUUUAGUUUAUGGUUUCAAGGUAGGUAUAGUAAUUUCGUUAAUCCCAUAAGUUUCGAGAGGUAUAUAAAGAAGUACUUCAUAUUUAAAUAUGUCACACAUAAGGUGUGUUACAUUAUGCUUCAUGUUUUAGGAAAUUUUCGACCUAUGUAGAGGUCUCCGAUUACAGAUACAAAGUAAAUAAGAGAAAAACUUUAUCCGAGGUCCUGUGCUAUAUCAAAAUUGUUGGAGUUGAGCAAGUUCUACUUGCGGCGUGUUGAACGUUUGGAGCUGGAUUCAGCAUCCGACUGCUUGACCCCCAACAGGCGCCUUUCAAAAUCUGCUUGUUGUUCUUUCACCUCUCUUAUUUCUGCUAGUGUUGUCACCAUUUGAUUCUGAAGCGUCCCUGUGUAAAUUUGGGUAUUUUCAUGUAGUCCUUCCAGACGACGGAUGUCUGCGGCGUUACCCUGUGUAGCAGCAUUGAUCUCACGAACUUUGGCUACUUUCUUGUCCGCAUGGUAGUUCUGGGUAGCUAUAGUGCCCACAAUAACAGGAAGUGCUCGAUCAGCUGAGCCUCCCCCACUGACAUUAUAAAAAAUCUCGACACAUGCCAAAAGGAGGGCGUACACCUAAUUGGCGGCUCCAGUAAUAGAGGUGGCUUCCCCACAUGGGAAUGGGUCCUGGUCGAUAUGGUCUAGUUUCUGGAGGAUGAGGGAUGGGAGGGUCGAUUACUUCCGGCUCGGAGUCUGUACCACUAGUAAUUUCCUCAACCUCCUCGUCGACUUCGAAUUGCUCUCCGACUUCGACUUCGAAUUCUUCUUCGACUUCCUCUUCGAUUUCCUCUAGGUCUUCUUCUAUC
rnacentral:lncRNA from 1 species